rnacentral:lncRNA from 1 species
AGUAUAUGAUCUACUACACGACACUAGGCCUCAGUAAUCACAUGAAUGAACGAGCUACUACAUAGUGCGUCGUGCAACUAUGCCUCGAUAAUCAGAAUGAACGAGCUACUACAUAGUGCGUCGUGCAACUAUGCCUCGAUAAUAUCCAAUCUCAUGGCCAACCCGAAGGUUGCUANNNNNNNNNNNNNNNNNNNNNNNNNNNNNNNNNNNNNNNNNNNNNNNNNNNNNNNNNNNNNNNNNNNNNNNNNNNNNNNNNNNNNNNNNNNNNNNNNNNNNNNNNNNNNNNNNNNNNNNNNNNNNNNNNNNNNNNNNNNNNNNNNNNNNNNNNNNNNNNNNNNNNNNNNNNNNNNNNNNNNNNNNNNNNNNNNNNNNNNNNNNNNNNNNNNNNNNNNNNNNNNNNNNNNNNNNNNNNNNNNNNNNNNNNNNNNNNNNNNNNNNNNNNNNNNNNNNNNNNNNNNNNNNNNNNNNNNNNNNNNNNNNNNNNNNNNNNNNNNNNNNNNNNNNNNNNNNNNNNNNNNNNNNNNNNNNNNNNNNNNNNNNNNNNNNNNNNNNNNNNNNNNNNNNNNNNNNNNNNNNNNNNNNNNNNNNNNNNNNNNNNNNNNNNNNNNNNNGGAAAAAAUCUACUAUCCCUAGGUUCAAAUGCCAUAGUGUUCCACUACACUAGAUUUGAUGCCACUCAUUUAUGUCAUGAUGUUGUAUGUGUCUCAAUACACUAAAUCGACAUGCCACUCGUCCAUAUUAUAGUGUCUCUAUUACACUAGUCCAAAUGCCACUCGUCAUGUUAUUAAUCUUGUUUACAUGCCACUCGUCCAAGUUCCAAGUGUUUUCAUUACACUAGUUCACAAUCCAUUGGUUCUCAUUACCAAGUUCAAGUUCACCAUAUUCUUAUCACUAUAGGAUCUCAUGUCACCCGACCCAAUCCUCAUGCAUUCUAGGUUUAAGUGUCGAGCCCACAAUGCUACACUACUAGACAUGCAUGCAAGGAAGUAGAAAUGCAACUACAACAAUCAUCCCAUAAUGCAUAAGAAUAAUAGAUGAAACAUGAUCAACAAUUCUAACUCGGACAUAGAAGGAAGCCCAGUUGCUUCGGGAUGGACACCCCCACCUUUUGGUGAUGUCACGAUGCUACGAUUCCAGUUUCGUGAUUUUUGGAAGCUUAUGCCGCGUGCUACGGCAAUCUGUACCGAAAUCGGCCUUUUCUUCAAUAUCUUCACGUAGCCUCGACGAAUACUCAAACCGAGUGCACCAACGUGUUCGUAUGCCUAGCAAUUAGGUUAGAGAAGAGUCAAUUGAGAUCGAAACCCUCCACGAACAAAAGCCCUCUUUUUGGAGCCCUAAAUCCCAAUUAUUGCAAUUAGCUUCAUACAAGCAUUAUCCCAAGCAAUAAAUGAGAUUAAUUACUUCUAGAGCAUCAUUAAGUUCCAUUUCUAGAGUAUAAAACCCUAAUCCAAGCAUUCUACCAUGAGAAGGCAAAGAGCUUACCUCUACUAAGCUCCUUCUCCAAGCUAAGGAAGAAGACAACAAUGGUGAUCCUCCUUCAAGCUCCAAUCUCCACCUUAUCUUCCUCUUGAUUCCAAUUCUAGAGAGAGAGAAAGAGCUUCUAGAGAGAGAGAGUGUGUUCUUUUAGGAUGGAAGUGUGACGCACUGGACCUUUGCAAAUUGCGAGGUUUGAGUGUUUGAUCUGCGUGACGAGCCAUCUCAGACUGUCUGAAGGGUCGUAGACAGUGUUCCGACCUAUGGUUCGAGUCCCGAAAUUGUGGUUUGAAACAGUGUACCAAAAUCCAAAAAGUUAGAUUUUUGGUUAGCUCUCGGAUUAGCCUCAGCCAGGCUGUGUACCGGUACAGCCUUGAUGGUUGUACCGGUACAGAAUUUGUACCGGUACGCCUUGAUGGUUGUACCGGUACACAAUAGGUUUUCUGCCAACCCGAGGCUCGGGUUGGGCAGUUUCGCAGAAGGUGUACCGGUACACUUUCCCGUGUACCGGUACACAAUGCAGAAUCUGGGCAGUUUCGUGAGGGGUGUUUUUGCAAUUGUUGCAACCCCUUUAUAAACAACCCCAGCCCCUUUGAGAGCUCCUUUGAGCCCUAAACCUGAGUUCUCUCCCAUUUUUGAUGGAUUUUGUUGGGUUUUGAUCUUCUCCUCCUUGCUUUCUUGCUUCUUAUUGGGUUUCCUCUAUGAGAGAAGCUUUGAGCUCGGGAUUGGAGCUUUGUGGAGGGAGAAUCUUCAACCCCAUUUGGAUUGGGGGCUAGUUUGGAGCUUCUAAGAGGUUAGUAACUAGAUCCUUUCCUCUAGAUCUAGUUUUUGUUGGAUUUUACUAGAUCAAACCCUAGAUUUUGGAUUUUAGGGUUAAAUUUGGGAAUUUUCGUUUUGAGGGCUUUUGUACCAAAUUGAUGGGUUUAGAACCUUUGUUUAGGUUAGAUUGGAAGGACUCUAGCUCCCAUUUGGAGAUUGUGAGAGCUUCCUUCGCAAUCGGUGAGUUUUUCGUCAACCCUAGCCCUAUAUGCUUAAUAAUUGAUCUUAGCGUCGUUCGUUUCGACUAGAUGACACUUGUUCUCGUACCUUUAGGGUACUAGGAGACUAGAGGACACCCUCGUUGGAGCGCACGAGGAGUUUCGUUGUCAUCGGUGGGUUUGGCUUCCUUGAAAUCGGAGGAAAUUCCUCCUAAGUGGUUAAAUGCUUUCAUUCUCUUCAAAUUCAUGCAUAUUCAUGUUUAGUAGCAUUUAUGGAAAUUUUGAAUGCUUAGAACUCAUAUGUUAUGCAUCAAGAAAGUUACUCUAUAUAGUAGAGAGACAAAUGUGCUUUGUUAAUAUGCAUGCGACGAAUAUUCUAUGAGAUGAUAGGAAAUAAAGUUUCAUGCUUCGAUUUUGACUAGAAAUUAUAAGUUCUUGAACUUAUUAUCCAUGUUGGGACAAAAUGAGCCAUAGUGUCAUAAAGAGGCACUUGGACUAGAGAAUUAUUAAACUGCAACAUAGAGACUUGAUAAUAGGCCACAUUGACANNNNNNNNNNNNNNNNNNNNNNNNNNNNNNNNNNNNNNNNNNNNNNNNNNNNNNNNNNNNNNNNNNNNNNNNNNNNNNNNNNNNNNNNNNNNNNNNNNNNGGCGGAGGCACGGGAUCGCGGCAAGGGGAUCGCUUAGCUAGCUAGCGAGGAGCGGUACUUUGCCUAGGUGGUUUACUCUUUCUUUUUGUAGUUGAGAGAGAGUGAGAGAUUUUGUAUCCAUGUAUAGAGACCACCUAUGUACCUACUUAUAGCUCUUGUAUUUGGGAUUUCCUAUUGUUCUUACUCUAUGUUUUAUUUAGUGGAUUUACUGUUUUAUCCUUAUCCCUUGUUGUAGCAUUUAGACAUUUAUUAUGCUCUGAUACUUCUAGAUGUCUUUUAUUAUUGCUGUUAUUAUUGUUGUUUUUAGACGCCUUAUAUGUUGUAGACAUAUGGCGGGUCUGGGCACGCGCCGGGCGGGCUCCCGCUGGGUCCCGGGGCGUGACACAAGCGUAGUCAUCGUCUCAAGUACUCAAUCAUUAUGUCUCUAACAUAGUAAUAUCCACUAUCAACCCAACGGUCUAGUUCUAUAUCUCAAAGUAAAGUUCCAACAUUCACUAAGUCUAGUGCCUCUUUAGGACACUAGAACAUUACUAUAUUCAAGCAUAUUCCAAUUUUCAUGCCUCUUUAUGACAUUAUUUACUAGGUUUAUACAUGUCCCAAGCUCAAUGUCGCUUUAUGAUAUUAGCUUAAUAUACCAAUUUCAAGCCCAAUGCCUCUUUAUGACAUUAGCUUACCCUAUCAAUAAUAGGUUAAUACGCAUGCUCUCUAGUAUGAUCUCACAUUGCUAAUAUGUACCUAGCAUGUAUUCCACAAUGCAUAUAAAUAUUAACAUGCAUCUAUCCACUAGCAUAUGGUUUCAAUGCGUCUGUAUGCAACUAUCAACUUAGAAUAGUUCUCAUAAUACUACAUGCAUACACUUUUCAAUGCAACUACCAACUUAGCAUAAUUCUCAUAAUAUUAACAUGCAGAUACAAUUCACAUAUCAUUCAAGUCUAAUGCCUCUUUAUGGCAUUACUUUGCUAGGCUCAUUCAUAGCUCAAUCCCGAAGUCGCAUUACGACAUUAGCUCCCUAACUCACAAGUUAUUUAAGUCCAAGCCACUUUAUGGCCUAAUGUAUUCUCUUAUAUCCAAAUGAGAUUUAUAUCCAAGGCAUAUUACAUUUGUCAUGUCUACCAUAUGAAGCAUGAUUCCAAGUCCCAAUUAGAAUGCUAAACCCAUGCAUAGGUCUCACAUGCAAGCUCUCUACUACAUAGAGGUCCGAAAAUACAUUGUAUAUAACAUAAGCAUUUCAAGCAUUCUAAAAUUCACCAAUAAUGCAUCUAUCAUGAAAAUGCGUGAUUUUUUAUUUUACGAUACUUAAAUCUACAUAAAUGAGAUUUUCUCAUUUGUAGCGAGGUCAAAUACACCGAGAGCUCUACUCGACCCUUCAUACCCCGGACUCUCUUAGCUCCAAGACUUUAGGUGAUGUCACGAUGCUACGAUUCCGAUUUUGUGAUUUUUGGAAGCUUACGCCGCGAGUUGCGGUAAUCUGUACCAAAAUCGGCCUUUUCUUUAAUAUCUUCGCGUAGCCUCGUCGUAUCGCUGAACCGACUUCGCCAGCGCGUUCGUAUACCUAACAAUUAGGUUUACAUAUGUCUAAUUUAGAUCAAACCGGUAUGCUACAGUAAUAUACCGAAACUUCGGUAGACUAGAUCGAAUCUUAGUCAAAUUGACUAGUGUCCUAGAGAAAUAGUUAGACAAAGUCCAUUUAACUUUCCAACAAGGUUGGAAGGGUUAAAGUUGAGUUCCAAGAGAGUUAGAAAGGCUUUAGCAUUGCUCGACGCGAAUUGGAGUCGAAACGGUGCAAAAUUGAAGUCUGGAGCAUUGUUAACCGGUAAUGCAUUGGAGUGGUACCGGUAUCAGGCAGGCAUCCGAGGGCAGCUACUCUCGGGUUUGAGUGUUUAAGGCUGUUAAACCGGUGACACCCCUGGUGCGUACCGGUACCAGGUCAGCUACCCGAGAGGGCAGCUCGGGUUUGGCUGCUGUGUAAUCGUUAGACCGGUGACAGUAUCCAGCGUACCGGUACGCAGUGCCACUCGCAGCAGACUUUGGUCUGCUGCAAAUAAAGGGAUUGGGUGGGUUUAUUUGUAAUUGUGGCGUCUUAUAAAGACCCCACCGUCCCUCUCUCUUGUUUACAGCAGUGAAACACAUCUCCUCUCUUAUUUCUCUCCCUCCCUCUCUCUAGAAACUCUCUCCCAAGGCUAAAGGAGGAGAUCAAGAGGAGAAUUUGGAGGAGAUUUGGAGUUUUGAAGGGUUUAGGGCUCUCCUACAAGGUGGAGCUUGGUGGGCAUCUAGGCUAAGGUGAGGUUUCUUGUAAGAUUGAGAUUAGGGCUUGGUUUUAUACCCUAAAUUUGUGGUUUUGAUCUUCUUACAUGAUGGAAAACCUAGUAGAGGCCAUGGAACUUCAUGAAAUUCAUGUUUCUUCAUGUGCUCUCAUAGUGGAUGUCAAGCCCUGAGCCCGAUCCUUUUGGCCGGUUCGAGAGCGUCGAACAGACGCCGAACGGACAGAGCCUCCCUUGUCCACCCAAGGCUCAACAACAAGUAUCAAUAGAGUAACAAUUUGCAUAAGUGGAAGCAUACAUAAUGACUUGCACGAGGGCAAGCAAUAGCCAAUAGUGAAAGUAAUAAACUAUACUUAGAAAAUCAAUUACAAUUUUCGCAUCAUUUCUUCUCUUUUACAUCGCAUGAUCUCAAAUAUAAAUUCUUGCAUUUAAACAUAAACUCUUUAACAACAUUCAUGUUCUGUUUUCCUUUAACAUCUAUAAUCAUCAAAUACAAAAGAUGAUAGUAAAGGUAAUGCAACUACAAAAUAUGAAACCAUCACGGGCGGUCACUAUCUAGGGCGCGAUGCCCUUACCGCGAUCAUCAACCGGCUCGCUCGGUCCCGGCUCUGUGAAAAUAGGGGUGUGAGAACUACAACAAAGUUUCUAGUGGGUUCGGCAACCAACCACGCCGACUAUCCCACUAGGUCUAAUCAGGCAUAAUAGAAUAGAGGAAAGAAAGUAACCAACUAACAAAUGCAACUAAUAUGCCUGAACAAUAUAAAAUGCGAUGCUCGAUAUAAUGCUUAUGAUGAAUGCAGGAUCACAAUUUCUUUACCCAAUCUCUUGGCUAACCGGUAGGUUUCGCCCUCAACAAACUCACUAACCCAAAAUCCUAAUAACCGGGGAGAUACCGGUUACAACCCGAUAGGACCGUCCUCUGGGGAGAUACCCGCUACGACCCAGUGAUGUCAACUCCGGAGCACAUCGCCCGAGGGGGAGCUAUCACCCUCGAGCAAGGACUAAAGGUGAGUACGAUCAAUCCUACAUUGAGGAUUCCAAGUUCAAUCCAUUCUUUAACUUUAAGGAAGACCAUGCUCAAAUGACCCUUAACUCUAAGAUUGAAAUGUCAUAAUGUCUUAAUCAUUCUUUUCUUUGCAUUCUUUACUAUCACUUGUGUCAUAUACACUACUAUAUUCUUGGACUCAUGCCUCACUUGUUUUCUAAGUGUUAUGUUAUUGACUCAUGCCACACUUGUUUUCUAAGUUUUCGAGACUCAUCAAUGUCACUCCCUAGAUCUAUGUUCAUGUGUCACUUUUAUUCACUAACCCUUCUAGGUUCUUAUCACUUGUCAUGCAUAAAUAGGGUUUACAAUUCUCACAUUCUUACAAGUAUACGAAAUUAAAUUCACAAUCAUGCUGUAAAAGCUCACAAUUAACCCUACUAUGCAACAUGCUAAAGGGUUUUCAAGGUCCUUGGAAUGCACCACCCACCUCGAGUGGCCUUGUAGGUGUAGAAUAUGACGACUCCUGAACUUUACGAAAGCCGAUUCCGCGUCCUAUAACCAAAAUAGUGCCAUAUUAGGCCUUUUGUAUAUGAACCAUAGUUAAACAUUUUCGUAACGUCGAACAGAGUUGUCCAACGCGUCGAGGACACCCCGAAUUAGGUUUCUACGAGGUCAAUUCGCCUUCGAAAAAUCCUAGGGCAAAAGCACCAAAUUUGAGCCCUAACAAUGCCCUAUAGCAAUAGCUCCUAGAUUGAUCUCAUGCCUAAGCAAAAGAUAGCUUAGAAUCAUCUAGGAAGCUCUCUAAUACCAUUUCCAAGCUAUUGGAACCAUUCCUAGAGCAUCUAUUGUGAACCCUAGAAGUUCGCCAUGUGAGCACCUCAAGAAAAUCAUGGUUUCAUGGUGUUCAAGGCUCCAUUACUCUUCUAAAGCCUCUAAAGAGACCAAAACUCCAAAACCUAAGGUUAAAAUCCACACCCUAGAGCUCUACAUGCUAAAAACUUACUUUGGCCUAAGUUCUAGCAAGCUCCUUCUUGUUGGAGAGCUUCUAGAACCACCAAACCUCCAAAAUCCACCUUCUCCAAGCUUUUCUCCACCUUCUCCUUGCCUUGGAGCUUGGGUUCUAGAGAGAGAAAGAAGGGGAGUGAGUUGGGGAGGUGAAAAUGGCUGUGGGAGUGAAGGGUGUAGGGUUAUAUCAUGUUGUAACAAUUACAACAAGGCCCUCCCACUUCUAUUUUUCAAAUCAGCCCUCACUGGGCAUUUUUUGCAGUGAGGGACCAAUCUCCCCGACCAGGGACCGGUUCCCGAGAGCUUCUCCCGCGGACUGCGUAGGCUGCGCGCGAUGCAACCGGUCUUCUCUCAAUGGAACUGGUCUCUCGGGACCGGUCUCUCUUCGCAGGGACCGGUUCCCGAGAGUUGGUUCUCCAGGACUUAGCCGAUUUCUCAGCUUCCCUAGCAGCCUACGCGUUCGGGGACCGGUCUCUCCCACCAGGGACCGGUCCCCGAGAGCACAAAACCUGCAGUUUGCAGAUUUUGAUUUCCAAAAGCUCUCGAAGAUCCCCAGUAAUGCAUUUUUAUAUUAAUUGACGCCUUCGGUCUAUCCGAAGUGUACCAACCUCGCACUUUGGUCAAUUUGACUAAGGUUCGAAUUUAAUUACCGAGGUUUCGGUAUGUUACAGUGGAUUUCUAGGGUUUGUUUCAUAUGCCCUAGGAAUGAUUUGAAUGACCUAGAAAUGGUUUUAGAGGGAUUCUUAGAUGAUUCUAAUCUUAUUUUUGCUUAGCUCUAAGAUCAAACCAAGGUACAUGGCUAUAUGGCAUUGUUAGGGCACCAAAAUUGGGACUUUUACCCUAGGUUUGGUUUAAAGGUAAAUUGACCUUGUAGAAACCAAAUUGGGGGUAUUUCUGACUCGUUGAUGGAUUCGGUUCGCCGAUCUGACGAGUCUAUGUAUAGAUAUUUAAAAAAAAAGCCUAAUCUGGCUUCGUUUUGUCGCAGGCGAGAAAAUAGGCGCCCAAAAAUCACGAAAUUCGAACCGUAGCUUCUUGGCAUUCCUACAAGAUGGGGGGUGCUAUCCGGAAUCUCUGAAUUUCCUUCUAUGUCUAUGUUGCCUUUUAUUGAGCAUAUAUGAAUAGUGUCAUUCAUGCAUGAUAGGGUAGUUAACAUAUGGAUAUUGGUUAAGAUUCAAUUGUAUGCUUCUAACGUAGAUGAACAUAGUGAUUGAUAUAGAACCAUAUGAGAUAUGUAUAUUGGAACCCUAUACUUGUUUGAAUGUGAGAUAUGGACUAUGAUAAUAGUAAACAAAGGUGACAUUGACAUUAGCGACGAGAUUGGUAUCGAGAGAUGAAUUGCUAAAUAAGGUUAAACCAAUUGUGGCAUUAUGGCAAGUGUGGCCUAGAGAGUGGUAUAUAUGACAAGGUAGAGACCUGUUAUUGCAUUGUAGCAUAGUAGCUUGUGGCAAAGUAGCAAGUGUGGCUAUACAUUUCCAAAUUGGGAAUCAGAUCGUACUCACAUUGAGUCUUGGCUUGAGGGAGGUAACUCCCUCUCAAGCGGUGCGUUCCGGAAUUGACACCACGGGGAGAGCGGUCCCCGAAGACGGUCCCUCAGGCGGUUUGAGUCCCCCGAUUGAGAGGUAUUUUGGGUUGUGAGUUUUGGGGUUAACAAGUGUUAACCGGGUUAAUUGGGUAAAAGCCAAAGUAAAUGUGGAAAAACAUGCAUGCAUAUUUAUCAUACACAUGAUUAUCUAUCUGUUGAUUAGCUUUCUUGCAGGCAUUGUAUUAGUAGUAGCAUUAGUUGGUUUGCUAUCUUUUUUUUCUUAAAAUAUAUAUGCCUGAAUAGACCUAGUGGGCAAAUCGGUGAGGUCGGCGGCCGAACCCACUAGGAACUUCGUUGUAGUUCUCACACCACUAACCCUGCAGAUCCGAGCGCGAGCGGGGCGGCGGAGGAUCGGGGCAUGGGUUUAGCACCGUAGUUAGCGGCCACCAGAGUUAUAGUCAUCCCUUUUGUUAUGUUUCAACUUUAUUUUGUUGAACAAGUUAUGUAAGAGAGAUAUAUAUCCAUGUAUUUUGGGUUGCAUGACUAUGUGAUGUAAAUGAAUCAUGAAUGCAAAGAGAAUGAAUGUAAUAAUUUUUGUUUUAUACUUGGUUAAAAUGUAAUCAAAUAUUAUGUAUGUGGUUGUAUGUAGUAGUUUAGAGCUUUCACUACUUGUUGUUGCUUGCCCUCAAGCAAGCCUUGUAUAAUUGCAAUCUCGUUGUUUGAUUUGCUUGAUUAUACUUGUUGUUGGAGCUUUGGGCGGACAUGGGAGGUACUGUCCGUUCGACGUCUGUUGACGUGCUCCGAUCCGACCAAAUAGGUGGAGCCCGGGGCGUGACAGAUAUAAUGGUAUCAGAGCGUGGUAAAAGUAAAAGGUCUAGUAUGGACUUAGGAGCCUUAGGUUGGAGACCUUAGGGACUUAGGUCAUGUUUAACGCGGACUUGGUUAUGCGGAAGCUAAUUGAUUGUGUUGAUGUUAGUACUUCUCUAAAAGGAGUUAGAGAUGGAUUCAAGUGUUUAUUUGUUUUCUUCUUGAGGGAUUGUGUGGGGCGGCCGAUUACAUAAUGCCAAGAGUCGAAAAUGAUUACACUUGAUUGCUUUCACUUAAUUGGGUAGUUAAUUGGAACGUGUAGUAUCACUUGAGUCGAGUACUAAUGUGUGUGCUACAUUUUAGGACGUGAUGGCACCACCUCGACGUUCUACGAGGUCCGCUCCGGCAUUGCCUAGUGAGGUGCCCGAGCAAUCUGGAUCUGAUGAAGUGCGCGAGUUGCGAGCCCAAGUAGCGGCUUUGGCGGGGGCUAUGCAGCGACAGGAGGAGCAGAUUGGAAGACUCCACGAGUUGGUGGCUCGACAGGCGGCGGCAGCUACACCAGUACCUCAGGACCCGCCCGCACCUGUAGCACCUACUCCUGCGGUAGCAGCGGCACCGGUGAUAGCUAUUCCUCCGACGACUUCGGGUUCUUCGGCUCCUAUACCCGAUGCGCUUGAGGCUGAGCAGGAGCGAUCGUUGGCGGUGCUGACGGCCUUUAAGCGGUUCAACCCUCCGACCUUUAACAGUGAUGAUAAGGAUCCGUGGGUGAUGGAGGCGUGGCUUACCGCUAUGGAGGCGUUAUUCGAGGAUAUCUACACCCUCGAGAGGGAUAAAGUUCACCUGGCGGCUCAUUAUUUUGAGGGGUUGGCUCGGUUGUGGUGGACUCGGGUGAAGAAUGGCCGGUCAUUGGAGCUUUCAUCCAUGACUUAGGAGGCAUUUCGAGAGCUACUAUUGAUGGAGUAUUUUUUCGAAAGUGACAAGCGGAAGAUCAAGGAGGACUUUCGCAAGUUAAGGCAAGGAAGCCGAUCGGUGCAGGAGUAUGAAAAGGAGUUCUCGCACAUAGUGAAUUGUGUGCCGGGCUUGGUUUAUGGUGAUCGGGACCGAGCGAAGGUUUUCGAGCGCGGGUUGCGACCCGAUAUUUUCAGGGUUAUUCAUGCAUUUCGCUUGAAGACUUAUGAGGAGGUACUCGAUCACUCAUUGUGGGUGGAGCGCGGCAAUGCUAUUGCGUGAGAGGAGCGCGAUGCAUUUGAGAAGGACAAGGACAAAGAUAAGUACAAAAAGCGGGCGGCUAGUGGAUCCGCGGGGCAGUCGAGUUCCAAGCGACCCCCUCGGUAUCAGCGACCACCGUGGCGAGGAGGCAGGAGUCAGACACAGAGCUAGACUUCCUUCCUGUGUGUGAUUUGCGGCGAUGAUCACAAGGUAGUGGGCUGUCCUCAGCGUGAGGGGCGGUGUUUCAAAUGCGACCAGGCAGGGCACGAGCCGAGAGUGUCCGGGUGGCAUAUCACCUGCUCCGUAAGCAGCUUCAGUUCAGUAUGCUCCGCGACAGCUUGCGGGAUUGCCACCGGCUAUGUCGGCUGGACGCGCAUCAGCACCGUGUUAGCCGGAGGGAUCACGAGCACCUAGUAGAUGGGUUUUUGCCACUCAGGUGGAGGAGCCUGCAGUUCCAGAUGACGUGGUGGCAGGUAUUGUUCUAAUUAAAGGCACAAGAGCUAGAGCUUUAUUUGACACGGAUGCAUCUCAUUCAUUCAUCGGUGCAUCAUUUGCUAAGACUCAUGGCAUAGAGAUAUCUUAUAACCCGGAUUAUUGCUGGGUUAAUGCACCUGAGCAUUCAUUUAGUGUGCAUGAGGAGUGUUUGGCUUGCCCAGUUCAGGUAGGUGACUGGAUUAUGCCGGCAGACUUAUUAGUACUAGCCGAAUGUGGGGAUUCGAUAUAAUCUUGGGGAUCGAUUGGCUCUCCAAGUAUUAUGCGGUCAUUGAUUGUGAGAGUAAGGUGAUCACUUUCUGUGAGCCUAAUUAGGAGGAGUUGGUAUAUCGUGCGUGCAAAAGCUCGCGCUUCGCGGCGACUAUAUUGGCGGCGAGGGCGAAAAAGAUGAUUAAAGGAGGAUAUGUGGCCUAUUUGGCAACAAUGGUAAAUACUCAAAGGGAGCACUCGGAACUUGGGAAUAUCCGAGUAGCGUGCGAGUUUCCAGAUGUAUUUUCGGUGGAGUUACCGGGAUUGCCACCGGACCGGGAGAUCGAGUUCGUCAUUGAUUUGAUUCCCGGGGCGGCGCCAAUUUCGAAGGCUCUGUAUAGAAUGGUGCCGGUGGAGCUAGUGGAGUUAAAAGCCCAACUACAAGACUUGCUCGAUAAAAGCUUUGUGAUUCCGAGCGUGUCACCGUGGGGAGCUCCGGUGCUAUUUGUAAAGAAAAAGGAUGGCACACUUCGACUCUGUGUGGAUUAUCACGAGUUGAACAAAGUGACAAUCAAGAACAAGUACUUGUUGCCGAGGAUUGAUGAUUUAUCCGACAGUUGCAAGGGUCGAGCGUUUAUUCGAAGAUUGAUCUUCAAUCAGGGUAUCAUCAAUUGAAGAUCCGGCCGAAGGAUGUGCACAAAACGGCGUAUCGUAGGCGGUGUGGCCACUACGAGUUUACGGUAAUGCCGUUUGGGCUUGCUAAUGCCCCGCAAAUAUUUAUGGACUUGAUGAAUCGAGUCUUUCGACCGUUGUUGGAUCGGUGCGUUGUGGUAUUCAUUGACGACGUGUUGGUUUAUUCACGGAGCGAGGAGGACCACGAGGAACAUUUGAGGACCGUAUUAUAAAUACUCCGGAAAGAGAAGCUUUAUGCCAAGUUAAAGAAGUGCGAUUUUUGGCUUUCGGAGAUUACCUUCUUAGGCCAUAUUAUAUCCGGGAGUGGCGUCUCAAUGGAUCCAAAGAAGGUUGAGGCAAUUAAAGAUUGGCCUCGCCCGACAAGUGUAGCGGAAAUCCGUAACUUUCUUGGACUUGCGAGAUACUACCGGCGGUUCAUGGAGGGGUUUGCUAAAAUAACUACUCCACUAACGCGCCUUACACACAAAGGGGUGAAGUACGUUUGGAGCGACGAUUGCGAUCGAAGCUUCGAGGAAUUAAAGGAAAGGUUGACAUCGACCCCGGUGCUUGCUCUACCGACGCCGGUGGUGAGCUUUAUUGUGUACAGUGAUGCCUCGUAUAUUGGUCUCGGGUGUGUUUUGAUGCAAAAUGGGUGAGUCAUUGCAUAUGCUUCGCGCCAAUUGAAGAGUUAUGAAAAGAACUAUCCGAUUCACGAUCUUGACCUAGGCGCGGUGAUAUUCGCGCUAAAGUUGUGGAGGCAUUACUUGUACGGUGAGCAUUGUGAGAUUUAUACGGAUCAUAAGAGUCUCAAAUACUUGUUCACCCAAAAAGAAUUGAAUAUGCGACAACGGCGGUGGUUGGAGUUACUAAAGGACUAUGGCGUCACUAUUCUAUACCACCUGGGAAAAGCAAAUGUCGUGGCCGAUGCUCUAAGUAGAAAAUCGAUGAAAAAUUUGGCUUCGGCAAUUACACCCCAACCGUCAUUGCAAAAAGAGAUGCAAUGAUUUGAACUUGAAGUAGUGGCUCCGGGAGUGCCAGCUAGCCUUGCCGCAUUGGUGGUUCAACCGAUCUUGUUGGAGAGGAUAAAAGAGCUACAAGCCUCCGAUGCAUAUCUCCAAAAGGUGCGGAGCGAAGUUGAAGGCGGUAGUGCUGAUGAUUUCAGCAUUGGGACCGAUGGAGCAUUUCGAUUCAGAAAUCGUUGAUGUGUGCCCAAAAAUGAAGACAUUCGAAGGGCGAUUAUGCAAGAAGCAUAUCAAUCUCUCUAUAGCAUACACCCGGGCGGCACUAAAAUGUACAAAGAUUUGAAGUGCAUUAUUGGUGGUCGGGCAUGAAGAAAGAUAUUCGUGAGUUCGUGGCGCAAUGUCUCACGUGCCAACAAGUAAAAGCGGAGCGCCGGUUUCCGGUUGGGAAACUCCAAAGUUUAUUUGUACCCGUUUAGAAAUGGGAAGAUAUUGCAAUGGAUUUUGUGAUCGGUUUGCCUCGAUCUCAAGCCGGGCAUGAUGCGAUUUGGGUGGUUGUGGACCGGUUGACGAAAUCGGCACACUUUUUGCCGAUCCACACCACGUGGUCCGGAGACAAAUUGGCUCAAGUGUAUCUCGACGAGAUUGUGAGACUUCAUGGGGUUCCAGUGUCUAUUAUAUCGGAUCGAGACCCUAGGUUCACAUCUCAUUUUUGGAAGAGCUUGCAAGACGCUUUGGGCACACGGCUCGAUUUUAGCACGGCAUUUCAUCCUCAAAGUGAUGGUCAAUCGGAAAGGACAAUACAAAUCCUUGAGGACAUGCUUCGAGCAUGUGUACUUGACUAUAAGGGCGGAUGGCACGACUAUUUACCGAUGACGGAGUUCGCGUACAACAAUAGUUAUUAAGAAAGUAUCGCGAUGGCGCCAUUCGAGGCCCUUUAUGGAAAGAAGUGUCUGUUUGAGGUAAAAUAAUACUUGUCAUACAUAUAUAUAUAGGUUGAAACAAUCCUAAUCCUAAUAAAAAAAUGAUUAGAUUCGAGUUCAUACAAUCCUAAUAGGACUCGUAUUAAUCAUUAAUUUUCUCGGGUCAAUAAUUAUAAUAUACAAUAAGCCCAUUUAAAAAUGUGAGUGGGUGGGCCCUUACGAAAGCCCAAACAAAUAAAAAAAAUGUGAGUGGGUGAGCCCUUACGAAAGCCCAAACAAAUUAAAAAAAAAAAAAAAAAAAGUGAGGGUGGGCCUUUAUUUCAGCCCAUUAUCAUUUGAACCCAAUAAAUUAAGGUGGGUCUGAUCAACGACGGCCCACGCCCACACCUUAUAAAGUUUCUAGUCGAAAUCCGAUUUCAAAUCAUAAUCCAUUCAAAAUUCGAAUUUCGAAUUUUGAAUUCCCAAAAUACCAUCUAAUAAUCCAUUCAAAAUUCGAAUUUUGAAUUUUGAACCCCCAACAAAUUAUCAAAAUAUCCUCCAAUAAUCCAUUCAAAAUUCGAAUUUCGAAUUUUGAAUUCCCAAAAUAUCAUCCAACAACACAUUCGAAAUUCGAUUCGAAUUUCGAAUUCCUAACCAAUUUCCAAAACAUCCUCCAACAACCCAUUCGAAAUUCGAUUUCGAAUUUCGAAUUCCCAACCAUUUCCCAAAAUAUCAUCAAACAACCCAUUCGAAAUUCGAUUUCGAAUUUCGAAUUCCCCAACCAAUUUCCCAAAAUAUCAUCCAACAACCCAUCCGAAAUUUGAUUUCGAAUUUCGAAUUCUCAACCAAUUCUCAAAACAUCAUCCAACAACCCAUUCGAAAUUCGAUUUCGAAUUUCGAAUUCUCAACCAAUUCCCAAAACAUCAUCCAACAACCCAUUCAAAAUUCGAUUUCGAAUUUCGAAUUCCCUAACCAAUUCCCAAAAUAUCAUCUAACAACCCAUUCGAAAUUCGAUUUCGAAUUUCGAAUUCUCAACCAAUUCCCAAAAUAUCAUCCAACAACCCAUUCAAAAUUCGAUUUCGAAUUUCGAAUUCUCAACCAUUUCCCAAAACAUCAUCCAACAACCUAUUCGAAAUUCGAUUUCGAAUUUCGAAUUCCCAACCAAAUUUCCAAAAUAUCAUUCAACAACUCAUUCAAAAUUCGAUUUCGAAUUUUGAAUUCCCUAACCAACUCCCAAAAUAUCUUCCAACUAUCCAACAACUCAUUCGAUUUCGAAUUCGAAUUUUGAAUUCCCAACCACUCCCCAAAUAUCCUCCAACCAUCCAACAAAUAAUUCAAAAUUUGAAUUUCGAAUUUUGAAUUCUUAACUAACUCCUCCCCUCCCAUUAUAAAUACGGGAACCGAAAUCAAAUUCAGGGAAUUUUUUUUUGGAGAGAGACGACACGAUAGAUAGAUUGCUACACACUUUCAAGUUCAAAAUAUUCAAAGGAGGAGAUAUUGCCGAGCCGCGGAAAGGAGGAAAGAUCGCCGAGUCGCAGAAAGGAGAAGAGAUCACUCGAGCCGCUGAAAGGAGGAGAGAUCGCCGAGCCGCGGAAAAAAGGAGAGAUCGUUGAGCCGCGGAAAAAAGGAGAGAUCGUUGAGCCGUUUCAUCCAAUCCAUCAACAGGUAGUAAAAAAGAAAGAAAGAAAGAAAGAAAGAAAAUAAAACAAUAAUAAAACACAAAAGAAAAUUCUCUUCUUCCCCCCUUCCUUUUGUUUUCUUUUUUUGGUCCUGCUACCGUAGUCAUCCAUACCGUCUUGAUGACUUUGCUGGGAGAGUGGAGGGGAGCCAAUGGCUUCCCGUUUCUUCGGACCUCUCAAUACCCCAUUCGAAGUUGUUGAUGAUGGAAUGGGUGAUCUACAUUGCCGCGACCACCCCAACAUCGCCGGUUUGAUACUUUCGAAAGAAGAGGGGAAGGGAGGGAAAUCAUUUGAUUCCCCGUUUCUUCGACCCUUCAAUAUUUCUUCGAAAUGUCAAAUUUCAAAUCCGCAACUAUACCGAUCUCACUUCAUCGACAUCCAAUCUACAACACCGACGGUUUGAUAUUUUCGAGAAGAAGAGGGGGGGGAAUCUUCUUGAUUCCCUGUUUCUAUCGGACCCUCAAUAACUUAUUACGAAAAUGUCAAAUCAAAUACGGAUUGGCCCGAUACAGAUCCACGGCCCCUUCAUCAACUUCGUCGACGUCAUCCCGAGCAUCGCAAGAAAAUGGGAGAUUCUUCGGACCCCAAUCAAAUAAAACGGGAUUUCUUCGGACCCGAAUUGGAAGUCAAAACGGGGAUUAUUCUCGGACCCAAAUCAGACAAACGGGAUUUCUGUCGGUACCUCCGCAAACCAAAUCAGAAAUUUGAGAAGUCAAAAUUCAAAAUUCAAAUCAACGGUGAUUUCUUACGGAUCCCAAAUUCAUUGCAAAAUCAAAAGGCGGAUUUUCUUGGACCCCACAUUCAAUUGCAAAAUUCAAUAGGGCGAUUUUCUUCGGACCCCAAAUAAUUGCGCAAAAUCAAAAGGGAAUUCUUGCGGACCCCCAAAUCAAAAUGCAAAAUCAAGUCUAUACACAAAACUUAACUGCAAUAAGUUCAUAAUGACGAAACCUCAAAUUUGCAAAUAAGUCAUAUGCGAUCCUAAAUUGAAACAAGUCAAAUAAAACCAAAUCUCAUGGACCAAAUCCGACAUGAACCAAAACCAAGUCACUGGACUGUAAAUCCUCGAUGAACCAAAACCAAAACCAUGCACUCCUGACCAAACGUAUACCAAAAUCCCAUUGACCAAAACCAGUUCAUGGACAAAUUCCCAUGAACCAAAACCAAAUUCCAUGGACGAAAUGCCCAUGGAUCCAAACCAUCAUGGCGACCAAAUCCCAUGACACAAACAAACCUCAGGACCAAAUCCCGAUGACAAAACCAACUCAUGGACCAAAUCCCAUGAACCAAACAAUUAUGGCCAAAUCCUACCAAAAUGUGGGCCAAAUGCCGAUGAACCAAACCAAUUCAUGGUGACCAAAUCCCAUGAACCAAAGACCAAACCUCAUGACCAAAAUCCAUGAGCCAAAACCAAGUUCAUGACCAAAUCCCAUGACCAAAAACCAACCUCAUGCGACUAAAUCCAUAUGAGCCCAAAAUCAAUUCAUGGACCAAAUUCCAUUUUGAACCAAAACCAAGUUCGAUUGAGACCAAAUUCCAUGAACCAAACCAAGUUCAUGUGAAUUAUUUCAAAUCCAUGAACCAAAACAAACCUCAUGGACAAAUCCCAUGAGCAAAAACAAAACCUUCAUGAUCAAUCCGAUGAGCCAAAACUAAUUCAGGACACAAAUUCCAGAACCAAAACCAGUCCAUGGACCAAUCCACAUUGACCUAAGACGCAAUACCUCUUGGACCAAAUCCCAUGAGCUCAAAACCAAGUUCAUGGACCAAAUCCCAUGAACCAAAAACAACCUCAUGGAACUCAUAUAAUCCUAUAGCCAAAAUCAAGUUCAUUGCACAAAUCCCAUCGAACCAAAAAUAACCUCAAUGGACUAAAUCCAUGAGCCAAAACCAAACCUCAUGAUCAAAUCCAUAGGCCAAAACAAAUCCUUGAACACAACCCCACCAACCUAAUACCCAAAUCUCAUAUAACCAAUACCCAAAUCUCCAUGAGCCAAUGCCCAGAAUCUCAUACCCAUAUCUCUAUGAACAAUUAGACUCUUAAUACAUAGGAGUUUAAUAUCGAUUAUAGGUUCUUAACAGACAUAUACUCAAGGACCUUAAUCAACCUCAAAGCCCAACUGACUCCUACAUACAGAUAUAUUAGAUUCAAUAAACACGAGAUAGAUCCAUUCUCAUCCAUGCUAUAAAGGUCUCGGGAAUCGAAGGUGCCCAAUCUCAAGGGGUAAUUAACAGUAAUGUAUGCAUCUAUUUGGAAGCCCAUGAGACCGCAAAAUCCAUACCCACAUACAUAUAAAUAUCAAUCGAAUCAUUAAUACCACCCCACGACACAAAAAUCCAUCGACUCGUGCGAGGUGCCGUCAUUCGUGGUGGCAGACAAAAUGCGACGGCCAUGGGUACCUUGGCUUCCUUUCAUCUUCGAGACCUCAUAAAAAAAAAACAGGGGGGGGGGGGUUUAGUGCAAUGAUUUCUAACUUCUACCUUUCUUGCGAGACAAGGAAAUGGCACCAAACGUCCAAGAACGCUGGUCGGCUGCAGACCAACAAAAUCAAUGAAUUGGAGGCGGAGUUCCGUCGUUUUGCUUCCCACGUUGCCAUCCUGAACGUUCGGACACUUGCAGGGCCUCAAUCCAAUUCGGUCACCAUUCUGAAAGAUGUUCGAGCUGCUGUCAUGAACUCAAAUUCUACUAUUCCUGGGGCAUGACUCAUUUCAGCCGCCCUUUCGCGAUGAAUCCAANNNNNNNNNNNNNNNNNNNNNNNNNGGACUCAUAUACACAAUUCUGGAUUAGCUAUAAUUUGAGAUACAUAAUCUCAGAUUAACCAAGUACUCUAUACCCAUACUCUAGACCCGUAACCAAGUACCCUAAACUCAUAACCAAAUACUCUAAACCCAUAAUCCAACCACCCCAACACCAAGUUCCCUAAACCAAAACCGAGUACCCUAAACUAGGUACUCCAAACCAAAACCGAGUACCCUAAAUCAGGUACUCCAAACCAAAACCAAGUACCCUAAACCAGGUACUUGAACUAAAACCGAGUAUCCUAAAUCAGGUACUCCAAACCAAAACCAAGUACCCUAAACCAGGUACUUGAACCAAAACCGAGUACCCUAAACCAGGUACUCCAAACCAGAACCAAGUACCCUAAACCAGGUACUUGAACCGAAACCAAGUACCCUAAACCAGGUACUUGAACCAAAACCGAGUACCCUAAACUAGGUACUCCAAACCAAAACCGAGUACCCUAAACCAGGUACUCCAAACCAAAACCAAGUACCCUAAACCAGGUACUUGAACCAAAACCGAGUACCCUAAACCAGGUACUCAAACCAGAACCAAGUACUCUAAACCAGGUACUUGAACCAAAACCAAGCACCCUAAACCAGGUACUCCAAACCAAAACCAAGUACCCUAAACCAGGUACUUGAACCAAAACCGAGUACCCUAAACCAGGUACUCCAAACCAGAACCAAGUACUCUAAACCAGGUACUUGAACCAAAACCAAGCACCCUAAACCAGGUACUCCAAACCAAAACCAAGUACCCUAAACCAGGUACUUGACCCAAAACCGAGUACCCUAAACCAGGUACUCCAAACCAAAACCAAGUACCCUAAAACAGGUACUUGAACCAAAACCAAGUACCCUAAACCAGGUACUCUAAACCAAAAUACACACCUGAACCAAACGUUAAACCUAAGCGUAUACUUGAAUUAACCUAAUCAACCUCAAAUCCAACUGAAUCCUAAUACAUAUACUUAGGAUUCAAUAAACCGAGAUACGAUCCAUCUCAUCCAAUCUAUAAAGGUCUCUUAAUCGAAGGUGCCCCAAUCUCAAGGGGGUAAUUAACAGUAGAUGCUUGCAUCUAUUGGAAGCCAUGGACCCGCAAAAUCUGAUACCCACAUACAUAUAAAUAUCAAUCUGAAUCAUGAAUACCACCCCACGGCCUGAAAAAUCCAUCGACCGUGCGAGGUGCGUCAUUCGUGGUGGCAGACAGUGUCGCUCUCCUAUCCAUUGGAGCGAUGUGGGCGAGAGAAUUGCUCUUGGACCCGAUGUGGUACGGGAGGUGGAAGAGAAAGUUCGCCUUGCCCGCCAACGACUUGUGACAGCGCAAUCUCGACAAAAGAAUUAUGCCGACAAGCAUAGAAAAGAUCUUGAGUUCGCGGUUGGAAACCGCGUGUUCUUAAAGGUAUCGCCAAUGCGAGGAGUAAAGCGGUUUGUAGUCCGUGGGAAGCUAUGUCCCCGGUAUGUUGGACCGUUUGAGAUAUUAGAACGGGUCGGUGCGGUGGCAUACAAGCUUGCAUUACCACCGAGGCUUGCGGGAAUUCACAAUGUGUUUCAUGUGUCAAAUCUCCGCAAGUAUAUCCGAAUUUUGACGCAUGUGCUAGAGUAUGAACCGGUGGAAUUGAGCGAGGAUAUGACUUAUGAGGAAUAUCCGGUGUGUACAGACGCCGAAUGCAAAGAGAAUGAAUGUAAUAAUUUUAGUUUACUUGUAUUUGAUUAAAAUGUAAUCAAAUAUUAUGUAUGUGGUUGUAUGUAUUAGCUUAGAGUUUUCACUACUUGUUGUUGCUUACCCUCGAGCAAGCCUUAUAUAAUUGCAAUCUCGUUGUUUGAUUUGCUUGAUUAUACUUGUUGUUGGAGCCUUGGGCGGACAGGGGAGGUGCUGUCCGUUCGGCGUCUGUUGACGUGCUCGGAUCCGACCAAAUAGGUGGAGCCCUGGGCCUGACAGGCAGGGGGUCGGUUAGGAUUUUAUCGACAACAAAAUGACCAAAAGACUCCUUACCAACUCACUUUGCCAUCUGGAGUACCGGUACUCAACUUGGGUACUGGUACCCCGCGCGCGGCCAGCCAUCCCAAACGCUGUGUACCGGUACUGACCCGAUGCAGUACCGGUACCCAGUUCUAGUACCGGUACUCACCAACAGGUAACGGUACUCGACGCCAAGCUGCGCAAACCCGAGAGCAGCAACUCAAGUAAUCCCUCCGGGGUACCGGUAUACCUCGCAGGUAUCGGUACGCAACACUCGAAAUCCUGGUUUUGCAGAUUUCAGUGUUCGUAUUCCAACUCUCACAGCUCUGAUUCCGUUUUCGCGUCUAUUUCUUGCCAAAACGCUUCUGACUCGUCCCGAUACUCUACAGAGUAUUGUCAAGCCACUAAUGCUGCAGUCAGUCCGAUAACUAAACCCCAAAGACACUACAAAAACAGAAUUAUGACUAGGAAUGUAAGAUACCAUGAACCAUAAUAAUAAUAAUCGCGCUUAAAUAUUUUGGGCCGAUGGUUUGUUCCAAACAAGUUGUUAUUACUAGUGGAUCGGACCAAUGGUUUGAGCUCAAUGAGUUAUUAUUACUAGUGGGUUGGGCCGAAUGAAGGUUGGGCCGCGUCAAAUUAAAAUUGCAUAAACGACUCUAUUUCGCGUGACAAUAAUUUUUUGUUAAAAAUUGUUUUUUGGUGGAAAAAAUGAUUUAUAUUUUGUAGUGUUUGGUUUGUAGGAAUUUUUUUUUUAUUAACAUUUAUUUGGUUGAAAUAAAAUUUUUUUUCACUUUUAUUUGGUUUGAAGGAAAAAAAUUAAUAAUAAAACUUUUACUGAGCUUGAGUUUUCAGUUUUCGCCGAAAAAUAGUGAAAAAUAAAAACUUAAAUUUUUUUUUCCAAAUCCAUAAAAACUUAUGUUUGAAGUUGAAUUACUUUUCUAAAUUAAAUUGGGAUUCAUUAAAUUAAUGGCUUUAUUGGUUUCAAAAUUAAUGGUUAGUGGAGGGCCGGUCUGAGUUAUUUGCAACAAUUGACAUUAACAGUUCGUUAAAUUUGAGUUAUUUAUAAAAGUUAUAUUUGAUAAAUUAUUAUUAUGUCCAUUUCAGUAUUAGCUGAGGUUAAAUCGGAAAAAAAAAAAUCAGUGCCAAUUAAAAAAAAAAAGAAGUAGGGGGUCCUUUUAUAUAAUGGCCUAUUGUCGAGAGGUUCCUGCACAUGAUCUUCAUGGAAAAAAAAAAACAACUUGAUAGCACGAAUGUCACUGUACUAUCGAUAGUAUAGCAACCGAACUCUCUCUUUCUUUAUAUAUAGAAAGAGAGAGUAGAACUGUGCUAUUAGGAGUACAGCAGUUCGUUGUGCUCCUAAGUUCCUAACUAUUCAUCAAUUUUGAUAAGUGGUUAGAGUGAGAUAGAAAAGAAAAAUUGAAGAGAAAUUGGAUGUCUCAAUUUUUCUUUUCAAUUUCUCUUCUCUCUCUCAUCGUAAUCACUCAUAAAAAUUGAUAAAUAAUUAAGAACUUAAAAGCAUAACGGCUGUUGUACUUCUAAAAGCGCAGUAGUCCGUGGAGUUCCCUAACAAGCGACCCAUGAGGCCACUUCAGCUCAUGCACCAUGUAAGUGCAUUGCAGUGGGCCGCGAUGUUUUGCAGCCUCCUUUUUUAUUUUUCUGUGACACCCCAAUAGUCCCACAUCAGAUGGGAAAGGGGUUGUCAUUGGGUUUAUAAGAGACUUAGACACUAGUAAUAAUAACUGGGUUUAAGCAUUUUGGGCCGGUUGUUGGGCCCAACGAGUUAUUAUUGCUAGUGGGCUGGGUCGUUACAUUUGGUAUCAGAGCAGGUUCACCAGCUAGACAUGUGUGGCGAAUCUCGGCUGAGCCAGGGUCUGGAUGACGGACUAGCGAAACGAGUCUCACAUCGCCUGGUGAUCUUGGGCUGUGUGUGUGAUUGGACUUAGUCCCACAUCGGAUGGGAAAGGGGUUGUCAUUGGGUUUAUAAGAGACUUAGACACUAGUAAUAAUAACUGGGCUUAAGCAUUUUGGGCCGGUUGUUAUGCCCAACGAGUUAUUGUUGCUAGUGGGCUGGGUCAUUACAUUUUCGCCGCUCGGAAAAUAAAAAUGAGAAUUUUUUUUUCAAAAUAUGUAAAACUGUUUUCUUUUGUUUUUUGUUUUUUUCCUUGCGUCGAAUCCGCAAAAUUAUUUUUGGACCGAUGAAUUAUUUUCAAACUACUUUUGCAUCAAACUAAACACACCCUGAUUUAUUUCUUUAAAGAUAAUCUGAAUGCCAAUUCACUUGUGAAAUUACUUAUUCAACGUGAUGGAGUAGUUGAAAUAAUUUGAAGUACCGUAGCAGUUCCCUCAUCAUUAGUUGAUUAUAAACCAGAAUUUGAAUAAUGAUCUAAUUGAAAUAGAAAUUAAAGGUUGAUAUUUUCAUUAAAGCAAAUUAAAGUUUAAUAUCCUAAAUAAAAAUCCACAAAAUGUUCGUUAGGUAACACUGUAAUUAACAUACCCUCAAAUUUCUCUAUCAAAAGGGAAUUAAUUUAGAUACAAUUUAAUUUGCAUUAAUUCUAAGAAAUAGAAAAAUUGGAUAUAUAUGUGACAAAGUUUAUACUUUAAAGUUGAAUAAUCAAAUCUCUUCGGAGCAAUUAAUGGUACAUAAAUUCCCACAUGCUCUAACUACAUAUUUAAUUUGUUCACUAAUUUUUCUCUUCUUCUUUGUUUAAUGGGCACGAGAUUGUGCUACAUUUUUAUUUUAUUUUAUUUUAUUUUUUUUAUUUUUUUUUUACAGAAUAAGGUUGGCUAGCUCUCAUUACAUUAGAGAAAUAAUAUAAACAUAUUAUUUUUAGGGUCAAUUUCAGUGUCUUUCAAAAGUUAUAAAUUAUUACGAGUAAUCCUUUAAAAUUAUCAUCAAUACCAUUUUUGCCACUAUAAACAGAUGAAUUAUAUAAAAAAUGCCACUCUAUCACAUUAACUAAGAGUUCUAAACUAAUUUUUCUCUAGUUAUAUACUUAAUAUAUAUACAUGGUAUAUUAAUAAAUAUUANNNNNNNNNNNNNNNNNNNNNNNNNNNNNNNNNNNNNNNNNNNNNNNNNNNNNNNNNNNNNNNNNNNNNNNNNNNNNNNNNNNNNNNNNNNNNNNNNNNNNNNNNNNNNNNNNNNNNNNNNNNNNNNNNNNNNNNNNNNNNNNNNNNNNNNNNNNNNNNNNNNNNNNNNNNNNNNNNNNNNNNNNNNNNNNNNNNNNNNNNNNNNNNNNNNNNNNNNNNNNNNNNNNNNNNNNNNNNNNNNNNNNNNNNNNNNNNNNNNNNNNNNNNNNNNNNNNNNNNNNNNNNNNNNNNNNNNNNNNNNNNNNNNNNNNNNNNNNNNNNNNNNNNNNNNNNNNNNNNNNNNNNNNNNNNNNNNNNNNNNNNNNNNNNNNNNNNNNNNNNNNNNNNNNNNNNNNNNNNNNNNNNNNNNNNNNNNNNNNNNNNNNNNNNNNNNNNNNNNNNNNNNNNNNNNNNNNNNNNNNNNNNNNNNNNNNNNNNNNNNNNNNNNNNNNNNNNNNNNNNNNNNNNNNNNNNNNNNNNNNNNNNNNNNNNNNNNNNNNNNNNNNNNNNNNNNNNNNNNNNNNNNNNNNNNNNNNNNNNNNNNNNNNNNNNNNNNNNNNNNNNNNNNNNNNNNNNNNNNNNNNNNNNNNNNNNNNNNNNNNNNNNNNNNNNNNNNNNNNNNNNNNNNNNNNNNNNNNNNNNNNNNNNNNNNNNNNNNNNNNNNNNNNNNNNNNNNNNNNNNNNNNNNNNNNNNNNNNNNNNNNNNNNNNNNNNNNNNNNNNNNNNNNNNNNNNNNNNNNNNNNGGUGUGCUAUUAAUAGCACAGCCUGACUCGUGCUAGAGAGUUUUUUACCCUCGGAUCUCUUUGAGAUCCGUGCUGUGAUCUAAAGGCAGAUUAACGGAAAGGGUCCGUUAACUCAUAUUCUCUCUCUUCAAGCGUUCUCUUUCUCUCUCUUCGUACGAUCUUUUCCAUCUUUCCCCCUCUCUCUCUUCGUGUUCUCUCUCUCUCUCUCUCUCCCUCCCUCUCCCACACCCCUCACGAGCUGCACCCUUGCCUGCCCCUGCUGCCGCUCCUCCUCUCUCUCUCCAUCUCCCACACCCCUCACGAGGCCGCACCCCCGCAUGCCCUUGCUGCCGCUCUUCCUCUCUCUCUCCAUCUCCCACACCCCUCACGAGGCCGCACCUCCCCCCCGCCUGACGCCUUGCGGCCGCUCCGCGUCGCCCCUCUCUCAAACGAGGUUUGAGACUCUCUUUUCUUCUUUUUUUUUUUGCAACCCAAAAAUUAGAUCUACAACUUCUUGCGUUAUCACAGUUUUUUGAUUUUUUUCGCAACCCAAAAAUUAGAUCUACAAUUUCUUGCCUUAUCUCAGUUUUUUGAAAAAAAAUUGAAUUAACAACCCUAGAUCCGAAGGAACACCUUCGUAGUUAAUUAAUUAUUAUGAAAAAAAAGCUAGCUUUUUAACCAGUAGAGCAAGCAGAAAGCACUUUGUAUCAUAGUUUUUCGAAAAAAAAGUGACCCUCUUUUUUCCCUAAUUUGUUCCUUUUUUCUUUGUUUUUGCAACCCAAAAAUUAUAUCUACAAUUUUAUUACAGUUUUUCAAAAAAAUCUGUUUGUAAACGAGAUCUUUUAAAAAAACAAAUUAUGUUUGAAAAUCUGUGAAAAUUUUGUUUGAGACUCUCUUUUCUUCUAUUUUUUUUGCAACCCAAAAAUUAGAUCUACAACUUCUUGCCUUAUCUCAGUUUUCCGAAAAAAAAUUGAAUUAACAACCCUAGAUCUGGAUACUUCUUGCAUUAUCAUAGUUUUUCGAUAAAAAUUUGACCCCUUUUUUUCCCUGAGCUAGAUCUCGGUGUUCUGCUUCACUUUUACAUGAUUUUGAGGUUUUGUUGGUUUGAAUAGGUUGAUGAGAGAGGGUGGUUGCAAAAUGUAGCUUUUUUUAUCGUAAUGUGUGUAGUUUUAUGCUGGUAUGAGAAUUAAUGGGAGUUUGUUAUAUGUUAUUUUUUUGGUUUGCUCUUGCUUGCUGGAUGCAUAUAAGGUUGAAGUAAUGAAGCUCUGUUUGUUAUAUGUACUUUUACAUGUUUUUUUGGUUUGCUCUUGUUCAUUAUAUGUUGUUUUUUUUUUUUUUCAGAUGUUGUAUCAGACUUUGUUGAAUUACAAUUUCUUGGGUUAUCACAGUUUUUCGAAAAUAAUCUGUUUGUAAACGAGAUCAUUCAUGAAAAGAAAUCUGUUUGAAAAUCUGAAAAAAUUUGUAAACAAGAUCUAUCUGAUUUGUAAACGAGAUCUUUUAUCUAGUUGUAAUUUAUUUCUUCUUGAUCACUGAAUGCAUUAUUGAUUCAAUAGAACUAGUUUGUCCAUAUUGUUACUAUAAACGAAGAAAAUCUUUUUCUAUUUUUCUAUUGUUUGAGAUCUGUUGAGAAUAUUAACUUUAGUUAUUUUUGUAGGAGUUAGUUAAAUCAUGGAACAUGGCUCUAUAAUUGAUUCCUCAGUUUCAAUGUGUAAUCUUGAUGUUAGAGAUGAGGUAAAUGAGGAAAUUGAAGAAAUAGUUGCUAAUGAUCAAAUAUCGAAUAUAAGCAAAUAUCCUGAUGAUGAGCUAUAUGUUGGUUUAGAGUUCACUUGUAUAGAGGAUGGAAAAAAGUUCUACAAUGAUUAUGCUUUUAAAAUGGGGUUCAGUAUAAGAAAGCAAACCCAUUAUAAGGCAAGAAAACAUGAUGAUGCUAUCACAUCUAUGACCUAUUGUUGCUCCAAAGCCGGUCGUUCUAAAACUGCAUCUCAGGAUAAAAGUGAACACCAAAAAUCUCAAGAUAGCCAUACACCCAAAAAGGAUUGUCCCAAUAGACGAACCAAUUGUAAGGCACAUAUUGUGCUGAAAGUAGAUGAUCGAGGAAAGUGGGUGAUAACGGUGGUUGCUAACGAACAUAAUCAUGAGUUGAUAGCUAGUCCUUCUAAAACGCGUUUUUUUCGAUCACAUCGUAACAUGACAACAGAGCAAAAAGAUUUGAUUCAUAUGUUAAAUGAGCAAAAUAUCUCUGCUUCCCAAAUUAUGUCUUUUUUAGAAGCAAAAGAAGGAGGAAGACAUAACAUUCACUUCAUUCGCAAGGAUUUGAGUAAUGAGGUUGUCGAAAAACAUAGAAAACUCAUUGGAAUAGAUGUGGCAAGUGCUCUAAACUACUUUCGUGAACUCCAAGGAAAAGACCCAUUAUUUUUUUAUGCUGUUGAUGUUGACGACCAACAAAGAGCACGAAAUAUAUUUUGGGUAGAUGGAAGAUCUAGAAUGGCAUAUGAGCACUUUGGCGAUGUUAUCACUUUCGACACAACUUACAUGACGAACAAAUACAGUAUGCCAUUUGCUCCCUUUAUAGGGGUUAAUCAUCAUUUUCAGUCCAUUUUUUUUGGGUGUGCUCUCAUUAGGGAUGAGACUGCAGACACAUUUUGUUGGUUAUUUGAAACAUGGAUGAAAGCUAUGUACGGUAAAAACCCAAAAGCUAUUAUCACCGACCAAGAUCCUGCUAUGAAGAAAGCUAUUGAGAUAGUCUUUCCAACUACUAUUCAUAGGUGUUGUCAAUGGCAUGUGAUGAGAAAAGCAAAGGAACAUUUUAAUGUCCUAUAUAGCUCCAAAGAUGGCUUUGAAAAUGAUUUAAAAGAAUGCAUAAAUGGUAGCUUAACAGUGGAUGAAUUUGAGAAUGCGUGGGCAACAAUGAUUGAUAAGUAUCAACUGCAUGAAAAUAACCACCUUCGAUUGUUAUGGAAUAUUCGGUAUCAAUGGAUUCCUGUAUAUUUUCGUGAUACUUUUUUUGCGAAUAUGUCCACUUCACAGCGUAGCGAAAGUAUGAAUGCUGUGGCAAAAAUAUGGUUAGAUUCACAUACAUCAAUAUUCAAAUUCGUCACUCAGUUUGAAAAAAUGUCAAACAAUCAAUAUGAGAGAGAGGAUAUGGAAGAUUUCAUGACAAAUGACGGAGAGCCUUCUUUAUGGUCAAAUGAUCCAAUUGAGAAAAAUGCACGCUCCAUUUAUACGAGGACAAUUUUUUCAGAAUUCAAGGUUCAACUAAGGGCUACAACAGGUUACAAGUUGGUUGAAUUGGAAAAAGAUAAGUUGUACAAGAUCAGUUCGAUUUCACAACCUUCUACUUCAAAACAACGAAUGUGCACAUAUACUGUGACAGUUGUAAGGUCUGAUGAUAUUGUAUCUUGUACUUGUAAGUUGUUUGAAUUUUAUGGUCUCCUAUGUGCUCAUGCACUUAAAGUGAUGCAUCAUAUUGAAGUUUAUAGCAUUCCUUCUAGAUAUAUUCUAAAAAGGUGGACUAAGAAUGCCAAAAAAGGAACAUCCACUAAUUCUCUAGAAAUGAGUGAUGGGUCCUCAUUUUGUAGGUCGCGGAGAUUUGAUUUGCUUACAUUAGAGUCACAAAAAUUUAUCUUUGAAGGAUCUAAAAGUCUUAAGGCAUAUGAAAAUGCAUGUCGGAUAAUUAAAGAAGGACUUGAUGUGUUAACAUCAAUUAAUAAGACAAUAGAAAUGGAUGAAGGAACAAAUAAGGAGCCUUCAAAUGAUCUACAUAGGACUCUAAUUUCACAAUCAAGUCUUAACCAAUACACCAUUAAAGAUCCUCCUCACUCGCAAUGUAAAGGGCGAAGAAAACCACAAAGGAUUAAGCCACCGGUUGAAAAGAAGGCAAGGAUAUCAAGAACUUGUAAGCAGUGUGGUAAAAAAGGAGACAACAUUAGGACAUGCAAAGAGGUAACAAUUUUUUUUUUUAAAAGUUUCAAUAUCAUAACAGUUUUUUUAUUUACUUUUGUCAAAAUUUUCUAUCUUUCCUAUUCACAUGAUAUUAACAAUUAUAGUAUUCUGCAGAUUGUUGAUAAAGCACUAUCUAUUGAAGAAAAUUCUAGCGAGAGUUUACAAGCAACGGAUGAAGAAGAGUCUUGAAAGCAUGAUGGAAGCUUAUAUGAGGAAGAGUAUUCUGCAGUUUGUACAUCAUGUUGUUAGUGUUGUAUUUUGUGACUUUUGUGAAGCAUGUAUGUUUUGUUUGUAGUGUUGUAUGGAUUAUUUGAAGCAUGUAUGUUUUGUUUCAAUCAGCUUGCUCCUUUUAUGUACUGGACUGUUUUGGUAUUAUUGCCUAUUUUACAUCUAAUUUUGGGAAUGGGCAAAUGGGUUAUGUUUGUUGUGCAUCAAAACUUUGGAAUUGUCUUCAUUUUGUAUGUUCAUAUUUUAUGAACUGAAUUGGAUCUCAAUUUAUGCAUCAAAAUGUGGAAUUGGGUCUUCAUUUUGUAUGUUCAAAUUUUGGUGAAAUUGAAUUGAAAAAAAGGGAAUGGUCUAAUGCUUUUAUGUAUGGAUUAUUUGAAGCAUAAAUAUCUAUUGACUUGAAAGUUAGUUUCCAGCAUGCUCAUUCUAUUGUAUUCUACAUGCUCAUUCAACAUGCUCAUUNAUACAAGUGAACUCUAAACCAACAUAUAGCUCAUCAUCAGGAUAUUUGCUUAUAUUCGAUAUUUGAUCAUUAGCAACUAUUUCUUCAAUUUCCUCAUUUACCUCAUCUCUAACAUCAAGAUUACACAUUGAAACUGAGGAAUCAAUUAUAGAGCCAUGUUCCAUGAUUUAACUAACUCCUACAAAAAUAACUAAAGUUAAUAUUCUCAACAGAUCUCAAACAAUAGAAAAAUAGAAAAAGAUUUUCUUCGUUUAUAGUAACAAUAUGGACAAACUAAUUCUAUUGAAUCAAUAAUGCAUUCAGUGAUCGAGAAGAAAUAAAUUACAACUAGAUAAAAGAUCUCGUUUACAAAUCAGAUAGAUCUUGUUUACAAAUUUUUUUCAGAUUUUCAAACAGAUUCUUUUCAUGAAUGAUCUCGUUUACAAACAGAUUAUUUUCGAAAAACUGUGAUAACCCAAGAAAUUGUAAUUCAACAAAGUCUGAUACAACAUCUGAAAAAAAAAAAAACAACAUAUAACGAACAAGAGCAAACCAAAAAAACAUGUAAAAGUACAUAUAACAAACAGAGCUUCAUUACUUCAAUCUUAUAUGCAUCCAGCAAGCAAGAGCAAACCAAAAAAACAACAUAUAACAAACUCCUAUUAAUUCUCAUACCAGCAUAAAACUACACACAUUACGAUAAAAAAAACUACAUUUCGCAACCACCCUCUCUCAUCAACCUAUUCAAACCAACGAAACCUCAAAAUCAUGUAAAAGUAAAGCAGAACACCGAGAUCUAGCUCAGGGAAAAAAAGGGGUCAAAUUUUUAUCGAAAAACGAUGAUAAUGCAAGAAGUCUCCAGAUCUAGGGUUGUUAAUUCAAUUUUUUUUUGGAAACUGAGAUAAGGCAAGAAAUUGUAGAUCUAAUUUUUGGGUUGCAAAAAAAAAUAGAAGAAAAGAGAGUCUCAAACAGAAUUUUCACAGAUUUUCAAACAGAAAUUUUUUUUUUUUUGAAAGAUCUCGUUUACAAACAGAUUUUUUUGAAAAACUGUAAUAAAAUUGUAGAUAUAAUUUUUGGGUUGCAAAAACAAAAAAAAAAAGAACAAAUUAGGGAAAAAAGAGGGUCACUUUUUUUUCGAAAAACUGUGAUACAAAGUGCUUUCUGCUUACUCUACUGGUUAAAAAGCUAGCUUUUUUUUCAUAAUAAUUAAUUAACUACGAAGGUGUUCCUUCAGAUCUAGGGUUGUUAAUUCAAUUUUUUUUCGAAAAACUGAGAUAAGGCAAGAAAUUGUAGAUCUAAUUUUUGGGUUGCAAAAAAAAUCAAAAAACUAUGAUAACGCAAGAAGUUGUAGAUCUAAUUUUUGGGUUGCAAAAAAAAAAAGAAGAAAAGAGAGUCUCAAACCUCGUUUGAGAGAGGGGCGACGCGGAGCGGCCGUAGGGCGUCAGGCGGGGGGGAGGUGCGGCCUCGUGAGGGGUGUGGGAGAUGGAGAGAGAGAGGAGGAGCGGCAGCAGGGGCAUGCGGGGGUGCGGCCUCGUGAGGGGUGUGGGAGAUGGAGAGAGAGAAGGAGCGGCAGCAGGGGCAGGCAAGGGUGCAUCUCGUGAGGGGUGUGGGAGAGGGAGGGAGAGAGGAGCGGCAGCAGGGGCAGGCUAGGGUGCUGCCUCGUGAGGGGUGUGGGAGGGAGGGAGAGAAAGAGAGAGAACACGAAGAGAGAGAGGGGGAAAGAUGGAAAAGAUCGCACGAAGAGAGAGAGAGAGAGAGAACGCUUGAAGAGAGAGAAUAUGAGUUAACGGACCCUUUCGUUAAUCUGCCUUUAGAUCACAGCACGGAUCUCAAAGAGAUCUGAGGGUAAAAAACUCUCUAGCACGAGUCAGGCUGUGCUAUUAAUAGCACACCAGCCUGACUCUAUAUAUAUAUAUAUAUAUAUAUAUUGAGAGAGAUAGAUAGCACGCUACCCACUUCGUUUAUUUCAUUUAUAAAUAAAUUUAGCUAGAAAUGUGAAUCAACUAGGAUUCGAACUUGGGUCUCGGGUACCAACCACCAAACCCUUUGCCACUUGCUCUAGGGACGGUCGAUCAAAAUCUAUAAUUUUAAUAGCCGAUAUGGUGCGUUUGCUCGUUUAACGGUAUAGAAGAGUUCAAAUCAACUAAAUUUUUGUUAAAAAAUUUUUUAAACUAUUUAAAAUAAGAUCUAGAGUCUAGAUCUCAAAUACAAAAAUUGUAUCAUCACUUUUUGAAAGAUAUUCAUUUCCAGCCAUUCAUUUUUCUGUUCACUUGAUGGAUAAGAGAACAAUAUCGAAAAUGUGUGAAAUUUGAUUUUCAGAUAGUUUAAAUAGUUUAGAUGAUGUUUAACGGUGCCGAUCAUCAAUUUGGAAGCUCUAUCAUCGAAAACAAAUCGGUAGUAAACCGAGCCGUUUACUACCGAUAGUAUUCUAGCAAAACUCUGUAUAAUACCGGAGUCCCGGUAUUAUAGAUAGUAUAGGAAACUAGUGCUACCAAGUUUUCCGCCGUUAAAUCUACCAUUUUGAUCAUUUUCACCCGUUAGAUCAUUCUAUUCAACCAACCACCCACUCAACCCUAAGGGGCCCACAUCAUCCUAACCGCACAUCUCUUAAUCCAAUAGCCAAAAACUUGGUAGCACCAAUGACUUGGUACUAUUAAUAGUAUAUUAGCUUAGUUAUAUAUAUAUAAUAUAUCUGAACUAUGAACUUGGCUACCCGACAUUUCAAAAGUUUGAUUUUACUAUUCAAUUUUUUAGUUUAUUUGAUUUUAAAGUCAGUUAAUGGGCCUUUGGCUUUAAAAUUUGAAUGCGUUGUUUAUUUUUAUAGAUUUAGUUAGUAUACUUUGUACAAUUCUCACAGUUAUAAAUUUGUUAAAUAAGUAAUUAGCUUAACAUUUGAAACUAAAAUAUCGUUGACUAAUUUAAAUCAAAUAAAUAAAAAGAUUGGAUAAUAAAAUCAAAAGUUUGAAAAGUUAAGCAGUUGAUCCAAAAUAAUAAAAUCAAAAAUGAUUUUUUCUUUUGUUUCGACCUUUUAUUUUUUUUGUGAUAUAAGGUUUUUUGUGUAAUUUUUUUUUCCUCCUUCAUCUUUUUAAAUUAAUUUUUUUGAUGAUAACAAAAGGGAGAGAAGAAAAGGUUACCUCAAAAUUAUUUUAAAAGUUUCUUUUAUCUCAAUUGAAAGAUUUUUUUUCGUGCUUAUUUUGAGGGGGAGUUUAUAUGUUUCUUUAUUAUCUUUUCAAAUUGUUUGUCAUCAUCAAAAAAGGGGAGAUUGUUGGAUUUUAUCAAAUAAUAAAUUUUAAUGAUAAUAAACAAAUUUUGGAUUUAAUUUGUUAUUUAGCAAUUUCACGUUGUAAUUGAAUUUAAAGUGGCUCAAGCUAAAUCGGAUUUGAUCAAAGCUAACCAUUCAAUCAAUUUGUUCAAAUUAGCCGGGACAAGAUCAAAUUGUAUCAAAUUGGAUGCAAGUGCCAGAACAAUAAUUUGGAGGGUUUCUUUACAAUUUAUCAGAUAUGAGCCGGUCAACCUAGUCAAGUUAACCAAUUCACCUUUUAGGUUUGAUUUGAGUUUAAUGUCAAAUUAGCCAUUAUUUUAAUAUGGUAUGAAAGAGAUUUUAUGUAUGGUAUAAAUUCAAAAAUGAUUUUAUUAUGGCAUAAAUUUGAAAAUAUGAAAUAUGAUAUAAAUGAAUUUUAUAAGUAUGGUAUUAUUUCAAAAGCUUGUACAAAUGUGGAAUGAAUUCAAAAUGUUUUUCAUUUAUAGUAUUAAUUUAAAAGGAUUUUAUGAAUUUAGUAUAAUUUCAAAUGAGCUUUUCAAUAUAGUAAUAUUUCAAAUAUGUUUGCAAAUGUGAUAUGAAUUCAAAUUUAUUUUGAAAUUAAUUCAAAUGUAUUUGCAAAUAUGGUUAAAAUUCAAAUUGAAAUCAAUUAUGAUUUAAUUAUACCUUUGUUCCAUUUUUGAAAUGAUAGUUAGUGUAUUUAAAGGGGGGUUUGGAUGUUAUUUAGGAUAAAACUUCAGAAAAAUUCUCUAAGUUCUAAUCAUUCAUUGAUUUGUAAUUGUGAGCUUCUUGAGAUGUUGUAAAAGAAGUCUUGUAUGAUUGUAAGCGGCUUUAGUCUUGCCCUAUUUAAAAGGCCAAGUGAUAGUGAAAUCGGUACCUCGAGGAGAAGAAGAACCGGACUGGAGUAGGCAGAAAGGCCGAAUCAGGAUAAAUCAUCUAUGUUAUCUGAGUUUGAUUUUCUUCUUUUAUUUGAUUGUCCAAUUUUUAUCUUAAUUUAAUUUUACUUGAGUUUUUAGUUGUCAACUAAUUCUCCUUCAAAGGGGUUAGGUUAGUUCUGUAUGCCUCUACCUAAAAACAAAAAAAAAAGAAAAAGAAAAAAGAAAAAAAGAUAAGCAUAUCCUUAUAUGAUUUAACUAGCUAGCCAAUAAUGUUAAAUAAAUUGGUGUCAAUGCCAAAUAGGCUCUUAAACCUAGCUUAGAAGUGUGUUAUCAAAAGCAUCCACUUUCAUAAUUUUAUUGCACUAGAGGGAAAAAUUUUACAAAAAACUCGAAUUUUUGGGGCCUUCAAAAUAUAAAACCAAUGUCUUUAACCACAGCAAUACUGAACUAAGCCUCAUUAGAUGCUGGCUUCAAGUAGAGCUUUUAGUUUGGGCUUUUAUUUUGUAAGUAAAACCAACAAAUAAUGUCAAAAACAAUAAAAAACUGAUUUCAGAUCAACCGUAUCUAGCACAAUUGGCUAUGGACUUAAUAGUUGGUACCCAACAUUCAGAGUUUGAAUUUUACUUGCUUCUUCUAGCUGAGUUUAUUUCAAAAAAUUAAAAGAAGUGGAUAAUUUAUUACCUUUCUCUCUCAAAACAAAAAAAGGAAAAUGAUAUUUGAGCCAAGCUAUUCCAACAUUUAUACAUUUUUUACGAAGUUAACGGGUAGAAGCAUCAAAAAUCUGUUUUUGAUCAAAUAUUAUUUUAAAGUUUUAUUUAUCAAACAUGUUUUUGAUUUUGAAUCAAAAUAUUUUGAAACUAAAAUCAUUUGAUUUCUAUAGAAAGUCAAAACAGACUUUCACACUCCAAAGUUCAGCUAAUGUUUGUGAUUGCUUUUAAACCCCAACUACAAUUUGUAAUAAUAAUUGGAUUAUAUUUUUCCUGCUCGGUGCGGUUUAAACUUAUUUGACCUCAAUUUUGGACCUUCACGACUUCAACCGAAGUCGAAAAUUCACAACCUUUUUAGUCUAAUAUACCUAACGAGAUCGAAUUUCGCUUUGGCAUUUCUAGGGGAUGCCAGAUUGGGGUAAAGGGGGCGCGAGAGUCGAGGGGACGUCGGGUUAGAGGGAGCAGAAGUCGAGCGGACGUCUCGAUUAGAGAGAGAAAAAAAAAUUAAGAGUACAUUACAAAAAAAUAUACAAAAAAAAUUAAAAUAAAUAUAAAUUUCAAAAAAAAGUGGCUUUGCCACAACAGCAUUAAGUUAUGGGGAUUAAUAGAGUUUAUAUAUAUAUAUAUAUAUAUAUAUGCCAUAGCUACUAUACUAUUAUAAGUAUUGGAACCCUCGUACUCAUAAGUUGUUUUCAAUAAUGGAGCUUCCGAAUCGACGAUCCACUUCGUUAAAUAUGAUAUAGAGUAUUUGAAACUUCUAGAAAAUAAAUUUCGUAAAUUUUCGAAAUCAUAAUAAAGUCCAUCAAGUGAGCAUAAAAUGAACGGUCAAAAUCGAACAACGUCCUAAAAAAGGAUGAUCGGAUCCUUCAAUUCAAGAUCGGAGUUAUUGAUCUUUAUCUAUGUAGUGAAUAGAAUUUUCUAUCAAAAAUUCAACAAAUUCCGGUUUUUUUACACCGCUAAACUAGUAAGGAUCCCAUACCGGCCGUUAAAAAUUGUCAAAUUUAUGACCUCUUGAUCGUAAGGUAAAUGAUGUCGAAAAUUUAUAAAAUUUGAUUUCUAAAAGUUUUAAAUACUGUAAAAAACGUUUAACGGUGUGGAUCAUCGAUUUGGAAGCUCUAUCAUAGAAAACAACUUAUGAGUACGAGGACGAUCGUACUCAUAAUAGUAUAGUAGCCGGACCCUAAAUAUAUAUAUGUAGUGUAGAGCUACUAUGCUAUCGAAAGUAUAGAAAAUCUGAUACUUCUAACUUUUUGAUUAUUGGAUAAAAAAUUAUAUGAUUGGAAUGAUUGCGGUCUCCUAGAGUUGAGUAGUACCCUUAGAGUUGAGUGGUCCCCACAGAGUAAUAGUAUUAAUCUAAAGAUUAGAAAUGAUCAAAAAGGUUGAUCUAAGUGCCAAAAAAUCAAAAGUACUAGAUCUUCUAUGCUUCCGAUAGCAUAGUAACUCUACUCUAUAUAUAUAUAUAUAUAUAUAUAUAUAUAUAUAGUAGAGUAGAUUAUACUAUUCAACCAACCACCCACUCAACCCUAGGGGGCCCAUAUCAUCCUAACCGCACAUCACUUAAUCCAAUGGCCAAAAACUUGGUAGCACCAAUGACUUGGUGCUAUUAAUAGCAUAGUAGCCUAGUUUUAUAUAUAUAUAUACAUUACAAUUCUAAAGCCCAAAGGUAACGUAAUACCAAAAAAACCACAUACGCUAAAAACGCUAGGGAUAUUCAUAAUGGAGACAAAGUUACUGGGUUCACCAUUAAGCCCCUCUGCACACAGGGUGGAAAUUGCACUGAAGCUAAAGGGGGUGGUGUAUGAAUCCACAGAGGAAGUGAGGGAAAAAAAGAGUGAGCUGCUACUCAAUUCGAAUCCUGUGUAAAAGAUGAUCCCCGUUCUCAUCCACAAGUCCCGGCCCAUUUGCGAGUCCAUGAUGAUCGUCGAGUAUAUCAAUGAAUUUUGGGCCGUCAAUGGGCCGGUUGUCCUCCCAUCGGAUCCGUAUGAUCGGGCGUAAGCUCGCUUUUGGGCCAAAUAUGUCGACAACAAGGUUUGUGCCAGUAGGAAUUUUUUCGGAGUGAAUUUGUUUUAUUGUCGUUAUCGUUCCUAGUUUGCAAUGCAACUCUGCCAUACUCCGAAGGAUUACUCUUAUACUUUAUUUAGGCCAAUAGGCCUCUUUGGUGGCCCAAAAUUCAAUGGACUUUAUUUGAAAGCUUGUGCAUCAAUUAUCAGAUGUGAGUUUAACUGCACAACUGUACAUAAAAAACUCAUGACAUGUAGUAGCUAUUUGUUUAGGUGAUAAUGAGAGCGGUGUUAUCCACUAAACACACACAUCUGCACACGGCACAAGCCAAGUUGCGUGCGAUUUUAGCUACCUGAUUCGGUUUACCUAUACUUAAAUUUUGUUUUUAAUUUUUUUCAUGCUUGAACUUUUUAUUUCUAUAGUAUUUUGUCAUUGAUUCUUGCAUGCACUUUUCAAAAAAGUUGUUUAAACGUCUUCAAAUUAAAAUAUUUAAUAAAAAUUAUUUCUACUAAGGAAAAUACACAGAUUUCCAAAAGAGGUCUAUAUGAACCAUAAACACUUCAUAAUGCAUGUUUUUUUCUAUUGGAUGCUAAUAAGAAAGUCUCUAGGCAGAUUUAACUUUUACUAUGUGAACUAAUUGUGAUUUUCUUGUCCCAGAUCCCUACUCCACUCCGAAUCGUUAUCGGAUUACUUCCGGGGAGCAAGGAAGAUGCAAUACAAGAAAUGAAAACCACACUACAGCAGCUGGAAAGUGCUUUAGCGAAAUGCAGCAAAGGAAAAGCCUUCUUUGGCGGAGAUACAAUAGGCUAUUUGGACAUCGCCUUAGGGUGCUUCUUGAGCUGGUUCAAAGCAGUGGAGCUGAUGAACGCUGAUGUAAACAUCCUCGACGAGGUGAAGACGCCUCUCUUGGCCGAAUGGGGGAACCGCUUCUGCUCCGAUGAUGAAGUGAAGGAGGUGAUGCCCGAACCCGACGCGCUCGUCGAGCAUGCCAAAAAAAAUAUUUUUCAAGCCAAGGAGAAUUAAUGCUGCUGCUACUUAUUGAAGCAAUCUAUAUGAUGUUAUGCCGAAGAUUAUAUAAUAAUGGUUGGUGAUUGCCAUAGGAAUUUAGAUAAGGAAUAAAUUUGGGGAAUAAGUAAAUGGAUAGGGAAAUGCUUGGCUUUUGUAACGUGAUGAAUUAAGCUACUUGGAUUAGAAUUUAUACUUAGUAGUUUGUGUAUUAAUUGUUCCCUUACUUUGUGUGUGCUUUGCAAAAACAGGUUUUAAGGCCUUCCUUGAAAGAACAAUGAUACCAAUUGCAACUGCUAUAAAUAGAAGUCCUAAACUAGACAAAUAUAGAAGAUAAAAUAAUUUAUGCAAGAACCCCCAACAUUUACUUCCGCUUUAUUUAAAUGUAUAAAUAUCUUAUUUAAUACAUUUUCUUAAUUUAUUCGAAUUAUUUGUGCAUUUGAUUGAUUCGGAGUGUGAUUCAAUGUUUAUAUAUAAUGAAAUAUUUUAUUCAAAUUUCAAAUUAUUUUUUAAAAAAGUUACCUUAUAAAUAAAAUAUGCUAUUCUAUCAAUCAUAAAUAACAAUUUUUUUGCAAAAAUCAAAUUUCUUAUUUAUAAUUAUAUUAAAAAAUUUUCAAACAGAAUAAGUUAUCUUUAGAAAACUUCUUCCGACAUCCAAACAGGAUUUUCACUGAGUAUUUUUCAAAUAAAUUUACGGCCGCAAAAUAUUAAUCCAAUACCAAAUGCGUCCAUGUGUGCCUCACAAAUCCCUUCACAUUCAUGAACAUCAACAAAUUUGUAUUAUAUACACAAGUCACAUAAACUAAAAAAUAAGUAAAUAAAUAAAUAAAUAAGACCCAUUAAUUCUAUUCCUCAAGCAGGGAAUUGAUUUUAGUCCUUGACCAACCUGAAAACACAAUUGAAGGCAACAUUCAAACCUCCUAACUAUCCGGAGAGGUACCUAUUAUUUAGUUACAAGGUCACUUUCACUAAUAUAUAAUAGGGGCAAUUGCUUAUAUAUUCCUGAAAAGUUUCCGAUUUUUCGAUUACCCCUCUUAAAAGGCUAAUAUUAAAAAAAUCCCUCCUACGUUCCAACCUAUUUCUAAUAUACCCUUAGGGUGCGUUUGGUUCGCAUUAUGAAAGAUUACUAGGAAUAAAAGAUAUCCGAGAAUCUUAUUCCUAUUCAUCCUAUUACUAAGAAUGUGGAAUUCCUAUGUUUGGUUCGCACGAUAAUAUUAAUUAGCCAUAUUAUUUAAUAUUACAAAAAAUAUACAAUUAAUUAAUUUAUUUAAUUAAUUAAUUUUAGAUAAUGUUACCAAAAGUUUCAACAUCUUUUUAGAAAAAAGGGAGAGAGAGUAUAAGUUAGAGAGAGAGAACAUAAUUAAAAAAAUAGAAAGAAAAAUAUAGUCAAAAUUAGAGGGAGUGAGAGAGUUGAAAUUUUAGAAAGAGAGAGAGAGAGAGAAAGCUUAGUUUAGAGAGAGAAAAAAAAAGGUUGAAUUUUAGAGAGAAAAAUAAGUUUAGAGAGAGAUAUAAGGUUAGAGUGUAAAGACAAAUAAUAUCAAUUAGCUGGCGGGUAGGAAGAAAGAAAGAGAUUAGACAUAUUAUGAUUACCCCAAUCCAUUAAUAUAAGGAUACCCACCCUCCCUCAAGGGAAUGAGAUUAGUACUUUGGGGUGAAUCUUAUUCCCAAGUGAAUCCAAUAUUACCAACUAGAAUACUUAGUGCGUUCAGCCAAACACCGUCAUAUUUUUUUAUUCCUAUUGGAUUAUUAGGAAUCUUUAAAAGAUAGCUCGAACCAAACGCACCCUUAGAGUUAAAAUCUAUUAAGUAACUCUGUUAUCUCUAUAAAAUUAUGAUUUUACCCUUUCAAAUAUACCCUUCCACCAUCACUGUUUUUCUUAUUUGCCUUAAAGUCAAGGACACAAAAAAUGUUUUGACUUUUUAUCUUUUCCAAUAAACCUCUCUACCGUCACCAACCUUUCUUAUUUGCCUUUAAGUUAAGGGCAAAAUUAGUAUUUUAAUUUUUUUUAACUGUGGUAGAUAUUUAACUCACGUUUAGCUCAUGUUAACUUAACAGGAGAUAAUUGCGGGAGUAUUUUGCAAUAACAGUAGAACAUAUUAGGAGUAUUUUAGAAAGAAAAAAAAAAGUAGGGAUAAAUCGGAUAUUUUUAAACGUAUAAGGGGUAUAUAGGCAAUUAUCCCUAUAUAAUAUAUAAUCUAUUCUUCUAUUCUUUCUACUACAUUAAAGGAGGGUUUGGGAGAACCAAAGGUUGACACGUGUCCCCCCCCAAAACCCUCCUUUAUUCUCUCUCUCCCCUCUCUCUCUCUCUCUCUCUCUCUCUCUAUAUAUAUAUAUAUAAUAUAAAAUUUAAAAUUUUGAUAUCAAAAUUUUAAAUUUUGAUACUUUCAAAUUUUAAAUUUUUAAAUUUUAUAUUUUUAAAUUCUAAAUUUUAAUUUUAACUUAUAAUAUUUAUUUUCAAAUUUUAAACUUCAAAAUUUAAAAUUUUAAAUCUCUAAACUCUAUGAAAUUAAUUAAUUAAUUUUAUUAAUAAUACGCGUAAUAAAUCACGUAAUAAAAUCUAACCUAAUAGAUGCAAUUUAAAUCACGUAAAAUAUCGCUGUAUAAAAAAAUACAUAAUUUAAAUUUCAGGAGUAAAAUUUAAAAAUAUAAUGUAUAUAUGUGUGUAUAUAUGCACGUGCGUGUGUAUAUAUGUGUGUAUAUAUAAUUAUUUUUUAUUAAACAAUUUCUUCUACAAUUUUAUUUUUCUUCUAUUUAUUGAAAAUUAUUUUGAUAGAUUUAUUUCAAAUUCUUUUCAUAUAAAUCUUUAUAAAAUAAAUUAUUGUAUAAAUUUACUUUGCCCAUAUACUAAUUUUAAUAAAUUUUAUUUAAAUAGAUUUAACUAUUAAAUUAUUUUUAUAUAACUUUUAUUUAAUUAAUAAUUAGAGUUAUAAAACUAUAGUAAAAAUAUUAAAAAAAUAAAAUUUAUUAUAAAAACAAUUUUAUAUCCGCAGCAUCACGCGGGUAUUUCACUAGUAUAUAAUAAUAAGAAGCAUUAAAGGGGCAAAAUGUAAUAAUAUUUAAUGAUUUAAAAUCAGGUCGAACCAGUUAAUUCAACAGGUCCGAUCAUGACUUAAUGUACAAAGCAGCAUGAUUUAAACCCUUUGAACCGAGCAAGUCAAAAGAUGAGUUUGAGUCAUUCGAACCUGCCGUUCAACCAUUGUACAAGGUUUGUGGUCUGGAAAGGGGCCUUGUUUGCUAUUAUAAUUAUAAAUUAUUUUUAUACUUUUACUAGUAAAAAUUCUAGGUGAAUGGAUGCAUGUACCAGCAGGUAGAUUUUUUGGAGUGAAAUUAUUUUAGUUUUGUCAUCAUUCGCUAGUUUGCAAUGCAACUCUAUCAUGCAACUCCAAUCUGCCGUUGUGAUGGUGGCUGAAAUUCUUUUGAAGUUGCUAUCAUUAUCGCCGCCGUCGAAACAAAAAGAAGAGUCCGCGAGGCCUCCGCACAUAAUAUUGUUGUUGUCAGAAAACGAGGAGCGGAUUACGAAACUCUUUGUAGUCAAAUUUUAGUUUCAUUGUUUUGGUAGAUGGGAGAGAGGGGGGACCCAUGCCUUUCCUCUCUGUCCCUUCUAAAAAUCUCUUUUAUUUUGAAUUCAAUGGUCCAAUUUGUAAUAAUUUUAGGCCCUUUUCAUUUUGAGAAAUAAUUUUAAAAAAUUCAAAAAAUAAGACAAUGAUAUAGGUUUUUUUUUUUUUUUUCAAUAGUUGGUCAUUUAUAGGGAUGCAAACGGAUCCGGAUUGGUGGAGCUCCCGCUCCGAUCCGCCCCGACGGGGCAGUAAAUGGGAGAAAAUAAACGGAUUCGGGGCAGAGUAAGUUUUACGAUCCGAGACGGAUUCGGGGCAGGAAACGGGAAAAAUUUUGACCCGCCCCGAAUCCGCCCCGCCAUGAUCUGCCCCGAAUCCGCCCAGAAUAUCAUUUGUAUUUUUAAAAAAUAUUUCUAAAAAAUAAUAUAUUUACAAAAAAAGUUCAAAAUACAAAUAAGUUAUUACUCUCAUUUCUAAUGUAUUUAAAACAUUUGAAUUUUGUUUUGCAUUGUGAUUCAUAUUUUUAAUUUUUACUAUUAAUAUUGUUAAAUUAUAUAUAUAAUAUUAUUAAAAAUUAUUAAUUUAUAUUUUACAAAAUAUUAAUAAUAUUAUAAUUUUAUAAAAAAUAUUAGUUGGCGGGGCGGAUUCACGGCGCCGGCAGAAGGCGGGUUACGAGGUGGGACGGAUUAUGAAAUGUAUUUUUUAACCCGUCACGAAUUCAGGGCGGGAGGCGGGACGGAUUUUUGCUAGUCGGGGCGGGAGGCGGGGCGGGUCUCCCGCCCCCAGAUCCGCCUCGUUUGUAUCCCUAGUCAUUUAAGGCGCGUAUCAAUUAACACCAAUUUAUUUUAUUUUCUUCCUCUUUUAUUUUUUUAUUAUUUUCUUUUAUCCAAAUAACUUAUGUCAUAAUUAGAUGUCAAGCUAAUUAACAUUAUUUCUUUUUUCUCCUCACGUGUUAAUGCAAACAAAAAAAACAAAAGAAAAGGAAAAAGAAUCUUCCUACUAACUUUUUCUUCUUUUUUUCACCUCUUCUUUACUCUCGAGCUACAUAAAGUGUCAAACAAACCACUUAUUCUUAUUCUAAAGAUAAAAAUAAAUAAAAAUAUUUAUUAAAGUCCUAUGUUGCAAUAAUUCAUUACUAUAUAAAAAAAAAAAAUCACGGAAAUACAUGUCAAAAGAUUAGAAGAUUACACAAACGCAUGCUGCCACAAUUAACACACAUGCCCUGGAAUCAAUUAAUAAUCCAUCUUUAUUACAACGAAACGUGAUAAUCGAACUCACUAAAAGAGUUUAUUCAAUUUCCCAAACUACGUACGUAACACUCUCCCGUAUCUCCACCACUUCCACUCCAACUACGUACCAAACAUUGAAUGCAAAUCAGUUGGCCGCAGCAGCAGUCAUCCUGGCUUGAGCUGCUUUUGCAAACUCCAUCAGCUUCUUGGCUUCUGGCAUCAGCUUCUUCACCUCCGCUGCGGCACGAAAGCGCUCCGCCCACCCCGCCAAGAGCGGAAACUUCGCAUUGUUGAAGAGUUUGACGCUGAACAUUAUGUCUACCACCUCGAUCCAGCCCAAGAAACACCCGAGAACGAUGUCGAGGUAGCCCACGUUGUCGCCGCCAAAAAAGCGCUUCCCUUUGAAGCUCUUCUCGUAAGCUUCCUCCAAAAGCUCGAGUCCUGAAAAGGCUUGUUCUGCUGCAGCAGCUCUCUCCUCGUCUGUUUUACCUCUUAAGAUCCCAAUUGAACUUGGGCCCCACUGCACGUAUUUAAAGCACGGAAUGGAAAUGAUCAGUAUGUCCAUACACAUCUUACAAAUUUUAAAUUAAUAUAAUACUGUAACGCCCCAAUAGUCUCAUAUCGGAUGAGAAAAUGAUUCUAAUUAGCUAUUAAUAAAAAUUGUACUUACACAUUUUAGGCCAAUGGUUUGAACCCAACGAAUUAUUAUUGCUAGCGGGUCGGAUCGUUACAAAUACGAUAAUGUGAAGGAUUUCAAUAGGACGAUUGAUACAAAUCAUUAAAAAAAUAAAAAACUAACAACUAUUAAAAACUAACACAUCAGUGCAAAGUAGCAACAAAUUACUGUAACUAUUUCUGCUUAAGAGUAAUCAGAAUAGUUGAUGAUGAUAGAAAAAUACAUUUGAAAGAGCAAAUAGUAAUUUCACAAAAAUAACAAUUGUUAUUAACAGUUCCCUAACAGAAUUUAACUCUAUAAAUAUAUUUGAAAAGACUUAGAAUGUUAAAAAAAUAAAUUUUUAUAUUAGUCUUUUAAGAAGAAUAAAUAAAAACUUCUGAAACUUCUCAGAAAUAUAUAAGUAAAACCGAGACACAUGAGCGUAAGUAAAAUAUUGUAAAACAUGGAAGUGUAAAUGGGAGAAACAACUACAAAUUCCUCUUGAGUUCUAGAAUUUACAACAUUACUUAAAAGGAACUUUUAUGGAAACAAACAGUCUCUUAUUAAACUCUAGUGUUAGCAUACCUAUUUCUUAAAAAAAAUAAUAAUACUCUUAUUUUUGUAAUUAAUUAUGUGUACCUUAUCAUCAAUGUAACUGGCCCAAAAGCAGGCAAUCGCCCGCUCGUAGGGAUCAGAGGGGAGAAUAGCAGGUCCACCAGCACCCCAAACUUCGUCGAUGUAUUGGAGGAUGAUCGCGGACUCCCAAAUGGGCUGUUCCUUGUGGAUCAAAACUGGCACCUUCUUGUUCACUGGGUUGGAUCUGAGGAGGAGCUCACUCUUAUUUUCCCAAAGUUGUUGCUCCGAAUACUCGUAGCUCACCCCCUUGAGUUCUAGAGCAAUUUGUACUCUAAGUACGUAGGGGCUCGGCCAUGCUCCAAGGAGCUUCACUUCCUUUGCCAUUUUUCUACAAAAUGAUUCCAAAAAGUUAGGGAAAAGAUGGUUUUCUUAGAAGUGCUAAAUUUGGAUGUGGCUUUGAUCGAUGUGUACAAGAGCGUAAGGGGUAUUUAUAAUGCGGAAAGAGGGAAUAUGCGAGAAUUUUCUAUUAAAAAGUUAUAGCUUGGUGAGGUUGUCAUGAAUAUCAUAUCUAUAGGUGAUUGUACGUGGUCAAAGUUUAAUAAAGCAUUCUAGGUUGGAGGAAUUCUACGCUAUCACACUUGCAUCACGUCAUCAAUAACAAACUGAUCAUAUUUCUUCUUUUCAAACAAAAAUAUAAUAAAAUUAUUUUUUAUAAUCAUGAUGGGAUAUAUAUCUCUAAAAAAAAAUUUUGAUUGGUUUGUUACGCCAGGUCAACAAUAUAUCCGUUGCAUUCUAAAAUUUUUCUCUGGGUUGAGACUGGUGACUUAAAAAGAUCAGUAUUCUGCUCUGUGAUGAGAGGUAAGGUUGAAUCUAGUUAUAUUUGAAAUAGCACGAGAUCAAAUUGGGACGAAUCAAAGUAGUGUGAGGCAAAUUGGCCCGAAUCAUAAUCGAAAUUUCAUGGGUUCUGUGUUUGUACGUUUUAAAUUAAUUGAUUGCACAUUUCUAAAGGCUCGAAUUUUUAAGAUUGAUAGUUAACGUUAACGAUCCAAUAGAGACUACAAGUUUUAGCCUAAUUAUUCUAAAGAAAAAUUAUAACAAGCUUUCGAAGAAAUCGGCUAGUUAAUUAGCUGCUAGUAUGAUUUCGUAAUAAUAGAUCGAAAGUUCAAAUUUUACGAAUUUGGGUCUACAACAUACCUGAUUGACUUAUCUAUGUACUUAUUGAGCAAACCCAAAACAGUAUUAAGGGUGCAUUUGGUUCGCGCUAUCUUUUAAAGAUUCCUAAUAAUCUAAUGUGAAUAAAAAAAUAUGACGGUAUUUGGCUAAACGCACUAAGUAAUCUAGUUGGUAAUAUUAGAUUCACUUGGGAAUAAGAUUCACCCCAAAAUACUAAUCUCAUUCCCUUGAAAGGGAAGGUGGGUAUCCUCAUAUUAAUGGAUUGGGGUAAUCAUAAUACGUCUAAUCUCUUUCUUUCUUCCUACCCGCCGGCUAAUUGAUAUUAUUUUUCUUUACACUCUAACCUUAUAUCUCUCUCUAAACUUAUUUUUCUAUCUAAAAUUCAACUUUUUUUCUCUCUCUAAACUAAGCUUCUCUCUCUCUCUCAUUCUAAAAUUUCAACUCUCUCACUCCCUCUAAUUUCAACUAUAUUUUUCUUUCUAUUUUUUUAAUUAUGCUCUCUCUCUCUAACUUAUACUCUCUCUCCCUUUUUUCUAAAAAGAUGUUGAAACUUUUGGUACCAUUAUCUAAAAUUAAUUAAUUAAAUAAAUAAAUUAAUUGUAUAUUUUUUAUAAUAUUAAAUAACAUGGCUAAUUAAUAUUACCGUGCGAACCAAACACAGAAAUUUCACAUUCUUAGUAAUAGAAUGAAUAGGAAUAAGAUUCUCGGAUAUCUUUUAUUCCUAAUAAUCUUUCAUAAUGCGAACCAAACGCACCCUAAAGGUAAAGUGAUAGAUAGAAAAGCCAUUUACCUCAUAUGAGUCUCAUUUUAAUCAUAAUAACUAAUUAACUAAAACUAAAACUAUAUUAUACCUUUUUGUGAAUCUUUUUUUCCUUUGUGCAAAUUAAUAUGAUUUUUUUUAUUUAUUAUUUGUACUGGUUGCAAUUAAUUAAUUUUAAUUUGGUAUACAUUUUGUAAUGUUUUCAAACAAAAUAAUGUUUAAGUCAAUUAAAAAUGUAUAUAUAAUAGAUAAUAGGCAAAAUGAAAAUUUUAUUUAAUUUUUUAAUAAAUUAUUAGUAAUUUGGGCACUUAUGAUAGUUUCUCUAAAUUAGACUGAUAUUUUGAAUAUUGACAAUUUUAAUUGAGUAUCUAUGUAAUUCAAGGUCAGAAAAAGAAUAUGUACAUAUGAAAUUAACUCUACAAAUUAAUAAAUCAAAGUUAUUUUCUUGGGUUUUAAGAAACAAAAUCCAAAGAAUCUUGAACAGCAAAAUUUGAUCUUGCACAACAAGCUAAGAAUCUCUCGCUAAAAAAUUGCUUACCUCUCAUCAACCUCAAAAUUUUGUGCUUCAAUGAUUAAAAAACUUAAACAGCGUGACUUUCAAAGCUCAUUACACGUAAAUUAAAUGCAUGAGUUAAUGUUGGAUAAACAAUUUGCUUCAUUUCGUCAUUGCAUGUGUAUGCAAAUUUGAACGUAGUCAAUGGGGACUAAUUUUUUAUUCUCAAAUUUUUUUCUUGGACAAGAAGAAGAGUGACAGAAUUGAGAGAAAGAGCAUAUUCGCAACUGUUACCGACCGUCUCUAGUGCAAGUAAAAAAAGACUUGGUGGUUGAUAUUCGAGAUCCUAAGUUCGAAUACUAAUUUAUUCGUAUUUCCAGCUAAGUUUACUUUUAAAGAAAAUAAACAAAACGAGUGGCAUGCUAUUUUUCUCUCUAAAAAAUAUAUAUAUAUAUAUAUUUGCAACUGUUGCAUGUGUUACGCUUUUAACGUCACCGCCACUGUCGUUGCCCUAUUUUAGAGCCAAAUUUACUCUUUAGGCCGGAAAAAAUACAUUUGGUUGAAUAGGAGAAAAUAAGUCCGGCUAUUAUAUAUUUAUAAGUAUGAUCGUUUUCGAACUCAUAAGUCAUUUUCGAUUAUAAAGAUUUUGAAUCGAUGAUUCACACUGUUAAAUAUAAUUUAGAACUUUUAAAAUUUUUAAAAAUUAAAUUUCACAAUUUUACAUCAUUUACCGUAAGAUCAAAAAAUUUUAAAAUUGACAAUUUUUAACGGCCAAUAUGAAAAAUUUGCUAAUUUAACAGUAUAAAAGAAUCCAAAUUGAAUAAAUUUUUGGAUAAAUUGCAUUGUUACCCCCUGAACUUUUGACGAAAUUUUACAUUACCCUUCGAACUUUUAAAAUGGACAUCUAAUACCCUAAACUCUAAUAUUUCAUUCAUGUUACCCCUUCCGUCAGUUUCCGUCAAGCUCCGUUAACUGAAAACUGACGGAAUGGAUAAAACGAAUAAAAUAUUAGAGUUUAGGAUGUUAGAUGUCUAUUUUAAGAGUUUUGGGGUUAAAUAAAAUUUGAAAUUUAAAAUUUAGAAUUUAAAAUUCAAAUUUUAAAUUUUAAUAUUCAAAAUUUUAAAUUAAAUUUUUAAAAUGACAUAUUGAAAGGAUUUCGAAAGUUAGAGAGGUAAAAUUAUCAUUUUACAUAAUAUGUAGUAUUUUCGGUUUUUAGUAACGCAAGAUACACAACUCCCCUCUCGUUAAUAUUUUCGGUGUAGUCCUACUCGAUUUGUAAUGCUACAUUAACCACUAAAUUACAUAGCGGAUGAACCAAACACAGUAAUCCUGACAGGAUUGCCUGUAAUUAAUCCUGACAAGAUAACUCGAACCAAACGGGCCCUAAGUAACAUAUUAUAAUAAAAUAAUUAUAGUCAAGAGUCCUACGGGGUAAAUUGCAUUGCUACCUCCUGAACUUUUGGCGAGUUUCACUUAAUCCCCCAAACUCCUAAAAUAGACAUCUAACACCCUAAACUCUAAUAUUUCAUUCGUUUUACCCCUUCCGUCAGUUUCCGGUUAACGGAGCUUGACGGAAAACUGACGGAAGGGGUAACAUGAACGAAAUAUUAGAGUUUAAAGUGUUAGAUGUCCAUUUUAGGAGUUCGAGAGGUAAAGUGAAACUUCGCCAAAAGUUCAGGGGGUAACAAUGCAAUUUACCCAUAAAUUUUUUAUAGAAAAUUAUAUUCACUAAUUAAAUAAAGAUCAAUAAUUUUGAUCUUAAAUUGAAAAAUUCGAUCAUUUAUUUUUAGGAGAUCAUUCAAUUUUGACCGUUCAUUUUAUGUCCGUUUGAUGAACUUUAAUAUAAUUUCAAAAAAUUAUGAAAUUUAUAUUUAGAAGUUUCAAAUGCUCUAUAGAUCAUAUUUAACGGUGUGAAUUAUCAAUUUAGAAGUUUCAUCAUAAAAAACAACAUAUGAGUGCAAAAAGUUCUAUACUCAUAAGAAUAUAGUUGUCCUACUCGUAGAAAAAUAUAUUUGAAAUGGAAAAAUAGAUUUUAUAGAAAUACAACUGUUCAUAAUUGUUAACUAAGGCUUAGUUUGGUAUUGAGGGAUAAAAUGGAGUUAGGAAAAAAAGUACAUAGGAAUAUACUUCUACAUUCUCCAGUGGGACCGCAGAAAAUAUAUCAUAACUAGCUCAUCACAAUUUGCGGAACGUAAUAUUAUGUACGGAAACAAAUAAGAUAUUUUUUCAUCGUAAUUACUACAUUCUCACCGCACGUAAUACAAUCUCCCCGCAAUUCCAAACGAAGCCUAACAAAAUAUAACUUUAGAGGUAUAUUUGAAAGAUAUUGGAGCAUUAAAAAUAUAUUUUUUAUAUUAGUUUUCAAAAAAUAAUAAAUAAGAAAGUCUGAAAUUUUUCAGAGAUGGACAAGUAGUAGUCCCUAAAAAAAAAAAAAAAAAAAAAAAAAAAAAAAAGCAACUAUCCAUCUACUUUUUGAAUUUUCAAAUAGGCUCUAAAUUUUUCCCUGAGGUUUAUUUGGUUCAACGUAAAUCCACGGAACGUCUAUUUGGUUCAACAUAGAUCCACGAAAAAUAACUUUUUGUGAAAAAAAAAAUUUUGAUAGAAAAAAAAUUUUACAUUGCGUUAUGUAAUAUUUGGUUUAUAGAAAAAAAUAGUUCCCAUCAAUAUUUAUUUGGUUGAAAAAAAAAAUUAUAUUUAUUUGGUUUGGUGAAAAAAUUGAAUAAAAAAAUUUUACGUAACAUGAAGAAAAAAAGCGCAAAAAAGAAAACAUCAAUUUUUGUAAAAUCCAUAAAAAUAUUUUUCUGAAAAAAGGUAUUUUUAUAAAAAAUAUUUUUAGGUUGGAUCAAACAAGUAUUUUCCAACACGGUGGAAAAUUGCGCAUGCUUGGAAUUUAUAUCUAUAUCUAUACAUCUAUACAUAUACAUUAUUUUUCCUAAUUUUUUGCCACGUGGCGAAUUCUCCUUCACUCUUUCCUCUUCUCUCUUUCCACUCCUAUUUUCACCCAAUGUUUCAUCUUCCUAAACCCCCACUCAAUUAAUGUGUUUACAUAAUACCAUCUCUAUCUAAUGCUUCAUCUUCCUAACCCCCCUAUUUCUUAAUUAAUAUGUUUACAUGGUUUCAUCUCCAUUUCUUCAUAUUUUUUUUUCAUAUUAUUUUUUUUUCUCCCCCCUAUCGCUCAAUUAAUAUGUUUACAUGGUUUAAUCUCCAUUUCUUCAUAUCUUUUUUUCCUUUUUUUCUUGACGCACAAAAAGGGCUCAUGUUUUGUAACUUUUUAAAAUUUUUUGUUGUGAGUGAAUUGAAAUUAGGGUUUCGAGAAUCGCGACAGAGCGCUGCAGAAGAAAACGGUGAUGGAUUUGAAGUCAGUGAGAGAGAAGAAGCAGUGGAUGUGGAUACGGGAUUGAUAUGGCCGUGACAAAAGAGGAGCUGGACACUAGCGGCGAAGGCGAUGUAAAGAUCGGAAUUUGCCUCUCCGAUGUCGAUAGUGCAAUGAAGAUGUGUAUGGGGUAAAAAAAAAUUUAUUGCUUACUACCCUCCUAAUGGCCGGGUAAUUGCCGGGUUUGAGGUAGCUAUACGAGCUGCUAGUAGUACCUGAGCGUUUACCCGGCCCGGAACACCUACUCUUGCCCCUAGUAGAAUAUCUGUCCUAACCUUAACUCCUCGUCGAGUGAGAAAAAAAGGGAGUGAAGGAGACACCUAAGUAUGUGGUGGGGGAAAGCGAAGUCACGUUAAAGGUGGGACAAACGCUUCCCCGAAUUGGCACUUGGGUCAUUGAAUCAGAGGUAACACUAAGAGGGUUCACAAAAAUAACAUCCAAAAAAAAAAAAAAAAAAAAAAAAAAAAAAAAAAAAACAUAACACAACCGAAACCCGAAAUCUUAACAUUACGUGCCUAUGGCAUAUAUUCCUCUCUACCCACUCACCACCCACACAAACAACUAAAGAACUUCCUUUCCUGUAUCUUACCAGUUUAUCCGCGCAGAGCACACUAUAUUAUAAUUUGAUCACUUCAAUGGGCGCGUAAUGCCGUCUUACUAUGAUAUCUUAUAUUUUAUAUUUAUUUUAUUUUUAAAAUUUAAAAAACUAAACUAUACCCUGAAGUUAUUUGUGUUUAUAUUUUAUAUUUUAUCUAUAUCCAUAUCUAUAUUGUUUUAAAUAUUAAAGCUAUUUAUUUAGUGUGUAUUAUUAUUAUUUUNGGAGUUUGGGCCGUUAAUGGGCCGGUUAUCCUCCCAUCGGAUCCGUAUGAUCGAGCCCAAGCUCGCUUUUGGGCCAAAUAUGUGGACGACAAGGUUUGUGGACUAGAAUCAGGCCUUAUUUGGUAUUAUUAUUGUUAUUAUUGAAUUUUCAUAAAUAAAAAUUUGGGUAAACUUCAAAUACCCCCGUUGUUUCACACUACCUCACUUUAGUACCUGUGGUUUAAAGUGUAUCAAGUUAGCCCCUGUGGUUUCGCACUUCCUCACUUUAGUACCCUAUGGUUUAAAGUGUAUUAAGUUAGUACUACGUGGUUUCGCACUUUCUUACUUUAGUACCUUGUGGUUUAAAGUGCAUCAAUUUAGUACUCUGUGGUUUUAUUUUUUCUUUUCGUCGGUUCCUCUAUUAAUAUUUCGUUAAAUUAUAUACAAAAAACUUCAUAUACCUUCUCUAGAUUUAUCGAAUAUUUACUUUAGUAUCCUUUAGUUUUAACUUUAUCGCUGAAAUUUUUUUUCCUCCGUUAAUAUUUCGUUAAAUUAGAUACAAAAAAUUUCAAAUAUCCUAUCUAGGUUUAUCGAAUAUUCACUUUAGUACCCUUUAGUUUUAACUUUGUUACUGAUUUAAAGAAAAAAAAUUAGUAAAAUGGAUAAUAAAAAGAGAAAAAUGAAAGCACAUGAUACUCACUUGAUAUAGUUUAAACCACAGGGUAUUAAAGUAAGAAAGUACGAAACCACAGGGAUUAAUUUGAUACAUUUUAAACUAUAGAAUACUCAAAUGAAAAAAUAUAAAACAACAGGAGAAGUAUUUGAAGUUUACCAAAAUUUUAUGCGGUGGGAUGUGCCGGCAGGAAGGUUGCAGUGCAACUCUGUCAUACUCCUAAAGGAUUACUCUUAUACUUUAUUUUGACCAAUAGGCCAAAUCGGUUGCCCAAAAUUUAAUAGACUUUAUUUAGAAGCUUGUGCAUUAAUUACUACAUGUGAGUUUAGCUGUACAUGAAAAACUCAUGGCAUAUAUUAGUAACUUAUAUACUUCAUCGUCCACAAGCUAUUUGUUUAGGUAAUAAUAAGAGUGGUGUCAUUCACUAAACACACAUAUCUGCACACGGCACGAGCCAAGUCGCAUGCAAUUUUGGCUAUCUAGUUUUUUUUUCCUACAUUUAAAUCUUCUUCUUUUUUUCAGAUCUCAUCUGAAUUUUUUAUGUCUAUAGUAUUUUGUCAUUGAUUCUUGCAUGUGAUUUUCAAAAUAGUUAUUUAAAUGUCUUCAAAUCAAAAUAUUUAAAAAGAUUUAUAUCUACUAAAAAAAAGUAGAGAGAUUUCCAAAAGAGGUCUAUAUGAAUCAUAAGCACUUCAUAAUGCCUGUUUUUUUUUUAUGCUAAUAAGAAAGUCUCUAGGCAGAUUUAACUUUUAUUUAUGUAAACUAAUUAUGAUUUUCUUGUCCCAGAUCCCUACUCCACUACGCGUCGUUAUCGGAUUACUUCCGGGGAAUAAGGAAGAUGCAAUACAAGAAAUGAAAACCACACUGCAGCAGUUGGAAAGUGCUUUUACGAAAUGCAGCAAAGGAAAAGCCUUCUUUGGCGGAGAUACGAUAGGAUAUUUGGACAUGGCCUUAGGAUGCUUCUUGAGCUGGUUCAAAGCAGUAGAGAUGAUGAACACUGGUGUAAACAUCCUCGACGAGGCGAAGACGCCUCUCUUGGCCGAAUGGGCGAACCGCUUCUACUCCGAUGAUGCGGUAAAGGAGGUGAUGCCCGAACCCGACGUGCUUGUCGAGCAUGUCAAAAAGAAUGUUGUUCAAGCCAAGGAGAAUUAAUGCUGGUACUUCUUAUUGAAGCAAUAUAUAUAUGAUGUUGCAGCAAAGAUUAUAUAAUAAUGGUUGGUGAUUGCCAUAGGAAUUUAGAUAAGGAAUAAAUUUGGGGAAUAAGUAAAAUGGAUAGGGAAAUGCUUGGCUUUUGUAACAUGAUGAAUUAAGCUACUUGGAUUAGAAUUUAUACUUAGUAGUUUGUGUAUUAAUUGUUCCCUUACUCUGUGUGUGCUUUGCUAAAACAGGUUCACAAAUGGUAAUAGAACAUUAAGGCCUUCCUUGAAAGAACAAUGAUACCAACAGCUACAAAUAGAAGUCCUAAACUAGACAAAUAUAGAAAAUAAAAUAAGUCAUGCAAGAACCCCUAACAUUUACUUCUAAAUAUUAAAUACAUUUUUUUAAUUUAUUCGAAUAAUUUGUGCAUUUGAUUGAUACGGAGUGUGAUUCAAUGUUUAUAAUGAAAUAUUUUAUUCAAAUUUCAAAUUAUUUUUUAAAAAUAUUAUCUUAUAGGUAAAAUAUAUUAUUCUAUUAAAUUAUGAAUAAUAAAAUUUUUGUAAAAAUCAAAUUUCGUAUUUACAAUUAUAUUGAAAAAUUUUCAUACAGAAUAAGUUAUUUUUAGAUAAUUUUUUCUGACAUCCAAAUAGAAUCUUCAUUGAGUAUUUUUUAAAUAAAUUUAAAGCCGCAAGAUAUUGAUCCAAUGCCAAAUGCGUCCAUGCAUGCGUCACAAAUCCCUUCACAUCCAUGAACAUCAAUAAAUUUGUAUUAUAUACACAAGUCACAUAAACAAAAAACUAAGUAAAUAAAUAAAUAAAUAAAACCCAUUAAUUCUAUUCCUCAAGCAGGGAAUUGAUUUUAGUCCUUGACCAACCUGAAAACACAAUUGAAGGCAACAUUCAAACCUCCUAAUUAUUCCGGGAGGUACCUAUUAUUUAGUUACAAUGUCACCUUCAUUAAUAAUAAUAAUAAUAAUAAUAAUAAUAAUAAGCAUUAAAGGGGCAAAAUGUAAUAAUCUUUAAUGAUUUAAAAUCAGGUCCAACUGGUUGAUUCAACCGGUCGAUCGUGACUCAAUCUACAAAGCAGCAUGAUUUAAUCCUUUGAACUGAGCAAGUCUAAAUAUCAUUUUGAAUGGCUCGAACCUACAGUAACCAUUGUAUAAGUGAACCAUUCCGAUUUUAAUCAAACCGUCCGAAUUUUUUUAGUCGAGUAAGUCAAAAAAUCUCUUUGAACUGUUCGAACCUGCAGUUCACCCAUCGUACAAGUGGGCUAAUUCGAUUUUAAUCAAACUGUCUGUUAUCUUUUUAAAAAUCAAAUUGUCUGGAUCGUGUCUCAGUCUACAAAGCGGCUCGAUUCAAUCCUUUGAUCUGAAUUAGUCCAAAAAAUGCUUUGAACUGUUCGAACCUGCGGCUCAACCAUCGUAUAAGUGAACCAAUCUGAUUUUAAUCAAACUGUCCAAAUUUUCUUUUAAUUAAAUAAUACUAAAAUCCAAGUGUUUAAAGUCACUUAAGCAGAUUUUACUAUUAACACAAAUUAGUCUUAUAAAAAGUGAAAUUUAAAAAUUUAUAUCUACUUAAUUUGGUCAAGGAAUUAAUACUUUCUCAUUACGGUGGUUGACCCAUUGGUUGAAUUGUUGAUUCUUGACCUAGUAAUAUUUUCGGAUUGCUAUUCAACUCGGUUUUUUUGAUAUUUUUCGAUAUUAGUGGUCUGAUCCAAUAUUAUUAUAUCAAAUCCAAGUGCAAAUAUUCUUCCUUUUUAAAAAAAAAUAAAAAAUCAUAUAGUUUGUCCCAUUUUAAGUGGACAAAUAUGUUACAAGAAGGUCAAAUCCUAACAAAUAACUUAGGCAGAAAUGCUUGCAGCUCCCAAUAAUUAUCGGACCUGUUUGGUCUAAUUUUUGAAAAAAUGAUUAUUGUAAAAGUGAUUUUGAUUUGGAGAAUUGAUUUUGGUGAAAAGCCGUAGAGCGUUUGGCUGAGUUUAGGUAAAAGUGAUUUUUCAUAAGCGGUUUUCUAAAGCUGUUUGGCAAAAAAAUUUUGAUGCAUGUAUAUAUUAAUAUUUUUACUAAAUUUUAUUUUAAAAUAAUUUAAAUUUUGAAUUUAAAUUUAAAAUUUAAAUUUGGAUUAAAAGUAUAAUUUUUAAAUUUCAAAUUUGUACAAAAAAUAAAUUUGAAAUUUCAAAAAUUUUAAUUUAAAAUUUGAAUUUUUUAAUCUAAAUUUAAAAUUUCAAUUUUCCAAUCUGAAUUUAAAUUUUGAAUUUUAAAUUUAAAAUCUAAUUUUAAAUUUUAAAUUUUAAAUUUUAAAUUUUAAAUUUUAAAUUUUAAAUUUUAAAAGUUGAGAUUUAAAAAUUCAAAUAUGAAUUUAAAAUUUCAAAUUUUAAAUUUAAUGUUAAAUUUAUACUUUGAAUCUAAAAUGAAAAAAAAUUUGAAGUUUGAGUCCAAAAUCAGAAUCAGUUUGGAAGAAGCAGUUUUUUCACUUCUGAUUCUGGAAUCUUCAAAAUCAGUUUUUGAUUCUGAAAGUAGAAUUAGAUUUUUCAUCUAUCAUUCUCAAACACUCUACUGAGCUUAGAAGUCUUUUGGGCUUAGAAUCACUGACCGAAAGGCCAACAACCCAUAGUCACUUGCUUUUAUUUAAUACUAAUAUAGGAACCCCCGAUGCUGCGGAUAAAAAUUAUAAUAAAUUAUAAUUAAAUAUACAAAUAAAAAUAUAAAAAUAUAAAAAAAUAAUCAAUUUUGAUUGGUUAAUAAUAUAAAAUAUAUUGAAAUUUUUUAUAAUGAAAAUAUAAUUCAAUGGAGAACAAAGAAAGAAAACAAAAAAAAAACUAUAAAAGAUAAAAAUUAUUGCAUAGAUAGGAAUUAAAAAAAAAACAUAAUUUAAUGCAAGAAUAAAAGGGAAGGAAAAAAUAAAAACCAAAGGUGAUUAACGUUGGGGUUGGUUUAUUACUGUGAUAAAUUAUAAGGGCUCUGGUUUCUUCUUUUCUACAUAAAAAUUAAAUUUAAAAAAAAUAAUUAGCAAUUAAAAUAAAAUAAAAUUAGAGAGAAAAAAUAUUUUUUGAGAAAGGAAAAAAAUAUUUUUAAUUCAUAAAAAUAUAAAAUAUCACUUGAAGCGAAUUUGAUUGUAGCACUUAAAUUUAUUAUCACCUACUUUUCGUAAUAUAAAUCAAAUUAAAAUUAAAAAUUAGUAUUUAAAAAUUAUUAUUAAUAAUAAUUUGAAUUUUCAAAGAAUGGGGAGAAAAGAGAACGGAUGUGGAUGGGGGGGGGGGGGGGGGGGGGAAUGGGAGUUUUCUUGAAGGAGCGAGUUCAAGAUGAAGGAACAUACGGUGGAUAAAAGGAGAUGAAGGAAAAUACGGUGAGAUAGGAAGAGAUCAGAGAUAUAUGCGGAGGAAAGAAGAGAGAAAGAUCCACUUAUAAAAAAAAAAAAAAAAUUAGAAGUGCCAAAAAAAAAAAAAGACAUUUGCCACAUCAGCUAUUGAUAUUGAAAAAUUAUAUAGAGAUAUAGAUAUAUAAAUAGGUUUUAAUAUUUUGUGUUAACAGUAACACCAUCAUAUUCUUUUUUAACACCAUCCUAUUCAUAUUAGAACAAGAAAAUAAGUUUUUUCAUAAGAGGUUAUUCUAUAUAUGGGAAUAACAUCAUAAAUAAAAAUAUACAAAAAUAAAAUUUUUUGUUAAAUAUUAUUUUAAUAUAAAUUACUAAAUUUCUCUAAUUUAAUAUAUACUAUUAAAUUAAUUUAAAAUAUAAAUAUAGAAUUUUAAAUAAUUAUAUUUAUUCAACCUAUGCAUUUUUCACUUUAGUACCCUAUGGUUUAAAGUGUAUCAUUUAGUAUCCUAUGAUUUCGCACUUUCGCACUUAAGUACUCUGUGGUUUAAAAUGCAUCAAUUUAGUACAUUGUGGUUUCAUUUUUUUUCUUUUUGUCGGCUUUUUUGUUAAUAUUUCGUUAAAUUAUAUAAAAAAAACUUCAGAUAUCCUACCUAAAUUUAUUAAAUGUUUACUUUAGUACCCUUUAAUUUAAACUUCGUCACUGAUUUUUUUUUCCUCCGUUAAUAUUUUAUUAAAUUAUAUACAAAAACUUCAAAUACCUACCUAGAUUUAUCGAAUAUUCAUUUUAGUACCCUUUAAUUUUAACCUUGUCACUGAUUUAAUGAAAAAAAUUAGUGAAAUAAAUAAUAAAAAAAAAAUAAAACCACAUAGUCCUAACUUGAUAUAUUUUAAACUACAGAAUACUAAAGUAAGAAAGUGUGAAACCAUAAAGACUAACUUGAUACACUUUAAAUUAAAGAAUAUUAAAAUAAAAAAGUACGAAACAACGUGUGAGGUAUUUAAAAGUUUAUCCUAUAAUUUAUACAAAAAAUAAAUAAAAUAUAUUCAAUCGUAAGUCGUAACGCCUCGCAAUUCGCAACACCAAAAUAAAGGAGGUCGGUGGACCCCACCGCGACCUCGCCCGCUUAUUAUAGAUCGCACGCGUCCGAAUCGGACCGGAGAAACGCAGUUCGCCCGAACCCAACGGUUUACCUACGAUGGCGACGCAGGCGUUGGCGGCCUCCACAACCCGCAAUGCGCCACCUCCCCCCCCGCCCCCGCCCCUCCCCUCUCUUCAAGAGGAGACCCUCUCGUGAUUUUCCAUUUCCAUUUCGACUUCAACUUCCCCUCCUCUCUCUCUCUCUCUCUCUCUCUCUCUCUCUCUCGCAUGCCUCACUCUUACCCCAUUCACCUCUCUCUCCUCUCCUCCUCCUCUUCCUCCGAUCUCCUUUCGUAGCUUCGGCCCUUCGAUCCGAUGGCCAUGGCGAUCGAUUCGCCCCGCGGAGCGCUUGGUCUCGUCCUCGUCGGCGUCGUCCUCCUCCUCGCGUUGAUGUCGCCGCGCGCGAGGCUCGGAGCCGUGGCGAGGCCGGAUAAGGAGACGAGGGAGAAGUUCUACGGCGAUCUCGUCACGGGAUCCACCCGCAAUAGCACAGGGGAGGGGAGCAUCGCAGAGAUGUUCGAUCGAGUCCUCGAGAAGGAGUUCUCCGAGAACGAUUCGCCCGAAGGUAAAGGAGUUAGCUCUUUAUCGCAUCUGUUUGAUCAAGAUCCUUGCUCCUGUGUUAUUGCGGAUGUAGUGUGUGUUUUGUUGGCUCGUAGAAUGCCAAGAAACUCUUAUUCCAAGAAUUUGGUAUUCGAUGUUGCGGCAUUUCAUUUGUAAAAUGAAUAUUAGGUUUCAAGAGCAAUUGCAACUAGAUUCCCUGGUGCUAAUGUGCCCCUUUUAUUGUUUUAGUUUUACUCUAUUGUGAAGUUGUCUCCUCUUUCUGUAGUUUUCACUAGGGCUUUGACUGAUCGCAAGAAGAUGUAGUCUUGAGAGUGCUUAGUGGUGAAGAGUGAAUCCAAGAAGUUUUCUGUUGAUAUCUCGAGAGGUGGUGCGACACAUUAAUGCAGGUUUCUUGGAUGGGAAAUUCUUGACUAGUUUAAGGUUUAAUGUGCAUUCUCUUCUGGACUGACAAAACAAGAUGAGAGUGAUCACUCUGAUUUUUUCUUUUUCUUUUUUUUGGGGGGGCGAAUGUGUUGCAUUUCAUUUACAGCAAAACUGAACAACUUAUUUUUGACAUACUAUAUCCGAUGUAAUAGAUCUCCCAGGCUGGGACUCAAACAACAUAUCUGAAGCAUUGAACACAUAUUUUGUCGCCUGAAUUGUUGCAUCUCGUUGUAGAACUUGUCUUGCUGAUUAAGAUAAGCUGGGAGAUAGAGAGAACCUUGGUUUGGAGUAAGUAAAGCAAGAAAGGAAAGUGUAUGCACAAAGCUUUACAUGAUGUUAUAUUAUUCUUACUAUGGAUGCUUAUAUUAUCAAGUUUUAUUUCAUCGUAUGAUUUGCUUGGUUUCUGCACUUUGUGGAUGCUGUGGUGUAGAUUACCUAAUACGUUGAUUAAUAUAGCUCGCAGAAUGAGAACGGGAUUGUAAAACGCCACUUGCUCUAAAACAUGAAAUGAUGGUGGUAGUCUUCAUUGGCAUGUUUUAUAGUUAUAGUAAAUAUUUAUGUGAAAUACAAAAUGUAAAUAAAUAAAAUAGUAUAUAUAUAUAUAUAUAUAUAUAUAAUAUGUGUAUUGCUCUCGAUAUGAUUCCAGUAUAGAGUUAAAAUGUUAGGAUGGGAUCACUGUUUUGCCGUUCCAAUUCGUUAACGAUCCCAAAAUUGGAUCUCACAUUCCUAUUGAAAAUUUGAAUGAAAUUUUACGAAUUAGGUACCCAUGGUUGUGGCAGCUCAAAGGUCUGUUUAUUUUUUAAUAGCAAUCAAUGGGCCUUUACAAGCACAUAUGUUUCUAGAUUUUUCAUAAAUUGACAAUAAAAUAUUUGUUAUUGUCCAUUGGAGUACAUGAGAGUUACAUGAGAGAAUAUCGUUUAUACAUGCGUUCAAUUUUGGCGUCCAAGAGAGAUCUUGGAAAAAUAAGGUGCUUAGUACUCUCAGUUUUACUUGCAUUUUAGAUAUUCAUGCCCAUAAUAUGCUAUUCUUACAUAUCCAUGGUUAUCUUCUUCUUCGUGUUAUUUAGCAUAUUACAAGUGCUAAUUAGUCCUGAUGCCAGUAUGCAUUUUUCACUUCAUUUCUCAUACCUAAUAUAUUUUCUUUGUAAUAAACUUACCACUUAUUGUGAUGCUUCUAAAGACUUGUGUGAUUCUGCUGAGAUAACAUUUCCUUUGCCAGGUCCUGAAAAAAGUAGCUUCAACAACAGCGUAGCAGAUCAUCAAGUAGGUGUGACUUUCCUCUUACGUUCUCAUUUGAAUGUCGAUGCUUUUUGAACUUUGGAGGAGUAUCUAUUUUUUUUAUUGCUCCUCCUUUCCACACUUCAUUUUGGGUGGAGGUAAAGUAGAAAAAUACUAAGCUGGCAGAAACUGUCAAUCAAUAAAUGAGUGAUUUGAAAAGCUCUUUUCAACUAGUUAUUUAUAUUAGUAGAUCCCACCAUUCUAUAAUACUGUAUUGCCGUAGGCACUAGAUGUAUGAAUAGUUGAGCCACCAAAUUUUGAGAUGCUUGGAGGUUUCGAAGUCAAUAAGAGAAAAGUAAAUUAAACAUUUAGCCAGUACCUUAAUGAACUUAAUACAGAAGAUCAAGGAGUCUGUCUAAGCAUGCCUCAGCGAUUCCGCUAAGUUCUAAUUUUCUGAAUUAAUCCCAGAGGUACUUAUAAUUCCGAAUACUAUGUGACUUCAAUUCAUACAUAGCAUUUGUUUCUUUUGUCAAGAGCUUUACUAAUUGAUAUAUACCCGCAUUACUUUAAAUUCAAUUUCUUGAUCUCUUUAAUUUUCCCAUAUAUAUGCACAGCAUGAGUAUGUGGAAUUAUUGUUUACUUUUCUUGCCACUAAGAGGGCAUCAUAUAUUGCUGAAGUACCAAGCUGUUGGAAGAUGUCGCGCCUUCUCGUCUUUGUUACUAAGAUGUUAUUUUAAGGACAGUUUUCUGAUAUAUAUAGAUUGCUGGCUUUAGCGGGAGCUCUUUCGUGACUUAAAGACUCACAAAGUAUUGGUUGAUUCUCUAUCAGGAUAAUGGUGAAAAAGGGCUUAUACUUCAUCAUAUUAUUGUAUGUUAUUCUUUUUAUCAAGGAUUGUCAUGCCAGCGCCACUGCUUGUGUUGCUGUGCUAGCGGCACUGCACGGCGGCACGGAGCAUGCCAACAACGACACGCCCUUUUGCUCUCACCACUAGCACAUUGGCACACAUUGGCAUGGAUUUUUUAAUCAAAUGUUCAUAAAAGUACUUAACCUUUUAGUAUGUUUUAAUAUCUCUAAUUAUGGCUUGAGGAUUAUAUCGUACAAUUUUGUGAAAAUAGAGCCAUAAAAAUCUUAAUAACUAAUAAAAAAUUAAUUUUCAUAUAUUAUGUACAUGUGUGAUAAUAAAACUAAAUCAUAAUUCAGUAAAAAAAAUGUAGAGAAUGACUCUACCAUAAGGAAAAUCAUUACAUCUAAAAUGAUAAAAAAAAUUAAGAGAGGUCUUUUUUUGUUCUUUUAUCACUAAAAGAUAAUUUCAUAUGCAAUUGAACUCACUAAUUGCAAUAAAUGUUAGCAAAUUGACAAGAUUUACAUAUGGAAAAACUUUUGUAAAACUUUUCAUCUAAAAAAAAAAAAACUCAAAAAGACCUUUAGGAACUCAAAAAAAUUAUUUUGUCGACACUGUAUCGACACACCCCGAUGCCACAUAUCGGCAUGGCGUCGAUGCAGUAUGGCAUGGUCGUGAUGCCCCUCCUCCCACGGGGUCACCUAUUCUAAAACUACUCUAGCCUUUGCACGCUUAAUCCUUUUAGCCUCUUAAUUCUAGCCACCGUACAAAAUGUUAUAACUGGGUUAGAAGGUUUAGCCCUAUUAUAUCUUAUAUAUAGGACUAUUCCAAAUCUUAGGGGUGUCACAUUCCUUCCUCUUUUAUGCCAUGAUGUUCUUGUUAGGCUCAAGUACACUUACAAGCACCAGACGAUGUGAAUUUUGUUUUGCUAGCCUUAGCCGACCUUGUGGGGAGCCGCGCUCCACCCACAAUGAUUGUUAGUUGAGAGCCACACUCUGUCUGCUAUAUGACUUUAGCUUAGUCGAGACUCAUCUCACAUUUUUGGCUAGUGAUUGACUUUGAUACCAACUGUUAUGCCCUGCUUCCCAGGGGGGUCACCGAUCCUAAAACUACUCUAGCCUUAACGCACUUAAUUUUCUUAACCUCUUAGCCCUAACCACCACCUAAAAUGCUAUAGUCAAGUUAAGAGGUUUAGCCCUUUUAUAUCUUAUAUGUAGGACUAUUCCAAAUCCUAGGGGUGUCACAGUGGUGUGUAGCGGUAUGGACAAUCUUUGCUUUUUAUUAAAAGUUUUAAUGGCUAAUUAUUGUUAUGAUGACAACCGUGUACUCUUUAGUUGCUAUUAUGCCAAUACCAUAUAUAUUUAUUCUAAUAUCAGAUGCAUCGAAUCAAUUUUCUUGGCUUUAUUAGUUAGACUAUUUUGAAGUCUCUUUAUGUCAAGUAAAGUUUACUCCGUAGACUUACUUUAACUGUACAGGCUGUUUUAGAGACUGUAGCUAUUAUUACGCAUGACAAGUCAAAGAAAAAUGGUUCGGAGGAGAAAAGGUAUUAAAAUAUUUUCAAGGUGGCAUUAAUUAGCAGCAGUUUAACUAUGAGUUUGUAUUGACUUCUAUAUUGCCGUUUAUUAUAGCGCCAGCAAAUCUUUCCAAAUUGGUGAUGUCUUUUCAUUGGAAAAUGAGGGCUCUGAUGAUACGACAACCUUGAUAGAUAGAAAGGUACAAACAACAUGUUUUAUUGAUGUGCAGAAAUUUUGGUGUUUCUUGUCUUGUAAUUAUUGAUUGACCCUUCUAAACCACUUGCUUGUAAUCUGCACAGGACAAUGUCUUUGUGAUGUCAAAUCGUAAAACUAAGUACCCAAUGCUUCAAGUGGAUUUAAGGUUUAUUUUUGAAGUUAGAUUUAGAAAUAUCUUGUAUAUAAUCUGUUGUUAAUUGGUGAAUACUUGUGAGCAGCUUAUUUGAUGACAAUGAUUGCUUGCAGGUUGAUUUCUGAUCUGGUGGUUGUAAUUGUUUCAGCUACUAUUGGUGGUAUCACCUUUUCCUGUUUGGGCCAGCCGGUGAGUAGUUACAAUAUGCUCUUUCCUGUUAAAGCAGUCAUUCUACAGUUAAAAAUGCGGUUGCACCUCUUCACUUAUGCUAAAAGGUGCUCCACAGUGACAUUUGUUCUUCUGCUUUUGCUCAUGGAUAUUAUUUUUUGUGCUGCUUAUAUUUACAGGUCAUUGUUGGUUAUCUUCUUGCGGGGUCUCUCGUUGGACCUGGAGGGUUGAACUUCAUCAAUGAAAUGGUGCAGGUAAUUUGAUAGCAUCCAAAUAUUCAGAAUUUGGUCAUUUCUAAUAUUUUACCUCUUCUGCUGGUUUAGCUGCAUAUUCCUCGACUUCUGAUAAAUUCAUAUUUGACUGGUUUGCACAGAAUCUGCUGUAGUUAAUCAGUACUACUAAAUGGUUCAUCCUCUAGUUUUAAAGUUACUAAUGCACCAACUCCUAGAUAAUUCAUCCUUUCGUGGUGGAAUCUGAUUUGUUAUAGAUGGGAAAAGUAGUCAACCCUUUUUAACCAUGUCACCAUGUGACAUGGAAAUGGAUAUUAAAUGUGAGUGUCCUAUUCAAACCAGAUGUUAAAUGGAUAGGAAUAAAAAGGUCUGUCAUUUGCAAGUGGCACUAGGUGCAUGCUACACUGCAUUCAUAUGCUAGCUUCUAAGUGUAUUCAAGGUGUACUCUUAAGUACUGCAAGUUUGUGAUAUACCUCGGAUAUGCAGAAAAUGUUAUGCUUUAUGAAAUUUCUAAAUUGAUGUUCUUUUAGGGUAGUCUUAGUGAUGGUAUGUUUCUUAUCUCAAGUGUUUCUGUAUGAUUGAUGUUCUUUUAGGCUAGUCUUAGCAAUGGUAUAUUUCUUAUCUCAAGUGUUUUCUGUAUGAUAUGUUUCCUUCACAUUCAGGUAGAGACUGUUGCACAGUUCGGCGUGGUCUUUCUUCUUUUUGCUUUGGGCCUCGAAUUUUCAUUGACAAAGGUAUCUAUCUGUAUGAGACUAAAAUGUAUACUCUAUCCUUGCAUGAUUCAAUUCUGUGCUGACACUCUUUAAUCUCAUACAACCACUUGUCUAAACAAUGCCAGUUAAAAGUUGUUGGACCUGUUGCUGUUUUUGGAGGUCUACUUCAGAUUCUUAUUUUCAUGUCCUUGUGUGGUCUAACUGCGAUGGUACGUUAAUGCUUAUUUUAUCUUUACUGAGAUCUGUUUUGUCAUGUGUCCCCGAUCUUUUUUUUGAAUGGAAUGUAUGAGCUUUUCUGUCUUAAGUUUGAGGUUUUGAUUUCACACAGUUAUGCGGCGCAAAACCUUCUGAAGGUGUAUUUGUCGGCUCUUUCCUAUCAAUGUCAUCUACUGCAGUGGUGAUGAUUUCAAGUCUAAUAAAUAGAUUCAAGCUUUUUUACGUUUUCUUCUCUUUAUUCUAGACUAAUUAUUUUGCGUUUCAUUUCCAUUACCAGGUCUCUAAAUUUUUAGUGGAAAAGAGUAGUACAAAUGCUCUUCAUGGUCAAGUUACAAUCGGUACUCUUAUUCUGCAGGUUUGGUUUAUGAAUUGUUCUACUUUUGAAUCAUUAUAAGAUAGGUCAUAUGUUACCAUUUCCUAGACUUCUUUUCUCCCUGGCUAGACCAUUAUACCAUGUUAAACCACUAUUUUUUUUUAAUUAUAUAUCCAAGGACCACCAUACUAUGUGGCUGUGAUGCACUGUUUUGUUCAACUAUACUGCCAUUGUUCAAUAAUCCAAUCGAUAAGCAAAAUGUCAAUAAUGUGGCUUCUAAAAAAUGUAGAUUCAGUAUAGAUGUCACUUGAUUCAUGCAGGUUGAUUACAGCAUACCAUCACGUAGAUGAGUAAGGUAUGUUUUCUAAGCUGGAAAUAUUGAUUUCUUCUUCGCUUUUUCUCUACAGGAUUGUGCUGUGGGUCUACUCUUUGCUUUGCUUCCAGUUUUGGGUGGUAGCAGUGGUGUUUUCCGAGGAAUAAUGUCUAUGGGAAAGUUGUAAGAGGCUAUAACAACUUGUAAUACACAAAGUUUAACCCAAAGUUCUCCAAAAACAAAGUCUGAUCUGAAAAUUCAUAUUUAAGUUAGAUUUAGACAAUAAUAUCAGUGUUAACGUGCUUGUCGAACAAAAUUGACACUUGCGAAUUUGUUAUUCUUUAACAAUUAAUAAUAGUGAGUGAUGUAUUGGAUGUUCUUUUACAAUUAAUAAUAUGGUGAGUAAUGCUCAUUUGAAACGUUUCCAUACACAGGUUGAUGGUCUUGUCCCUGUUUAUAACUGCUGCAACUAUACUCUCUUGGUCUUUUGUUCCUCGUUUCUUGAAGCUUAUGAUUCAGUUGUCAUCACAAGUGAGUUAUCUCCUCUGCUUGAUUGCAUCUUUUUGACAAGAAAAUCAUCAAGAAUUAGAAUGCUUCUUCCUUAAAUCUUAUUAUGUUUUCUCCUAGUUAUCAGUGGUUCUCACUUGUCUACUAUAUGCAAUGAGAGUUCGGUGACUUCUGGCAAAAUGAGAAGUUAAGAAUAAUUUUGUUUGAUAUGCUGAAAAUUCUUACACAUUGUUAAUUAAGCUCAAAUUCAACCUGAAAACGCUAGUAUGCAGCAACCUGUACAUGGCUGUCCUUUCAGUAAAAGCUUGUCUAUAUAUUUGGGGUAAAUUACAUCAUUAGUCCCUAAACUCUUGCACGACUUUCACUUUGGUCCUUAAACGUCCAGUUGUUGCAUUAGACAGUUUGAACUCGAACUUAAAAAUGUUCCAGUGUCAGUCCUGCCUUCAGCUUUUGUCACCAAAGGCAGAAAUCUUACAUGGCAUGCUAACUCACUGAUCGUAAACCUGUUUAUUAUACACAGGUGUUUAACAUAUCCUUGAUUGGCAUACUUAAUUCCUUCAAAAGUUUUAUAAUCUUGAUAAUCAUGAACAUUCAUUAUUGUUGGCAGAAAAAAGUCAUUUAGGGGCUUAGAAUCAGUGACUUGCAUGACCCGUUAGAUUUCUAAUCUUCAGGCAACCGAAGCAGACGGCAGAACUGAGCUUGGAAUAUUUCAAAAGUUCCAGCCCUCUAAUGUAAUAAAUCAAAGUAAAACUCGAGCAAUAGUUUAGGGACGACCGGUGAAAUUUACCCUAUGUCUUUUUAUUGUUAAAUAUUUUCUGUUAAUGUCGAUAUCCGUCACAUAAAUCUCAUUUCUUAUGUCCCAUAGUAAAAGCAUAGUCUUUUAUUGAGUUCUCACAGUAUAUAUAUAUAUAUAUAUAUAUAGGAGUAGGGCUGCUGUGCUCUCAGGAGCACGGAGGUCUCCGUGCUCCUGAGCCGUUUUCGAUGAUGGAAUUUUCGAAUUGAUGAUCGGCUCCAUUAGACUUGAUCUAGGGUAUUUAAAGUUUCUAGAAAAUAAUUUUUGCGAUUUUUUGAUAUCAUUUACCUAGUGAUCGAAAGGAUUCAAAAUCAAUAAUUUUUAAUGGUUGAUAUCUGCCGUUUUUAAGUUUAACGGUGUAGAAGUAUUCAAAUCAGAUGAAAUUUUGAUACAAAAUUCUUUAUACUAUCUAUAACAAGAUCAAUAUUUCCGAUCGAAAAUUUUAGUGCUAUAUCACCACUUUUUAUAGGAUUUUUAUUUUCAGCCGUUAAAAAUUAUUGAUUUUGAAUCCUUUCGAUUGCUAGGUAAAUGAUAUCAAAAAAUCGCAAAAAUUAUUUUCUAGAAACUUCAAAUACGCUAGAUCAAGUUUAACGGAGCCGAUCGUCGAUCCGGAAAUUCCAUCAUCGAAAACGGCUCCUGAGAGUACAGCAGCCCUACUCUAUAUAUAGAGCUAGGUUGAUAUACUAUCGGUAGCACGAAGGCCUUCAUGCUACCAAGUUGUUAUCAAUGAUGCGGCUUCCAAAUCGACGAUCGGCUCCAUUAGACUUGAUCUACACUAUUGAAAGUAUUUGGAAACUAAAUUUCAUAAUUUUUCGACAUCAUGUUCCUAUCAAACGAGUAGUCUAAAAAUGAACGGCUGAAAAUAAAAAUCUCAUAAAAAAUGAUGAUAAAAGACUUGAAUUUAAGAUCAGAGGUACUGAUCUUACUCUAAAUAGUGAAAAGAAUUUUCUAUAAAAAUUUCAUCAAAUUUGGAUUGUUUUACACCGUUAAAUUCACAAACGCAUCAUAUCUACCAUUAAAAUUGUCAAUUUUGAGAUAUUUUGAUCGCUAGCCAAAUGAUGUCGAAAUAUUAUAAAAUUUAGUUUCCAAAUACUUUUAAUAGUGUAGAUCAAGUCUAAUGGAGCCGAUUGUCGAUUUGGAAGCCGCAUCAUUGAAAACAACUUGGUAGCACGGAAGCCUCCGUACUACCGAUAGUAUACCAGCCUAGCUCUUUCUAUAUAUCUAUACUAUAUAUAAAAGCGUAUAAGAAUUCCAACAAUGACAUACGGAAUCCAAAAAGGAAUAAAAUAAUUUUUUACUACGAAUGGUAAUAAUUAAUCUAUAUUUAUAUCUAUAUCUAUACUAUGUAUAAAAGCGUAUAAGAAUUCUGACAAUGAUAGACGGAAUACAAAAAGGAAUAAAAUAAUAUUCCCUACGAAUGGUUAUAAUUAAUUUGUUAAAAAUAUCUCAAAUAAAAAUUAACGGUUAUGAUCAAUCUAUUAAAUAUAAAAUAAUAUUCCCUACGAAUGGUUAUAAUUAAUUUGUUAAAAAAUAUGUCAAAUAAAAACGAACGGUUAUGAUCAAUCUAUUAAAUUUCUACUACAUAUAAAAGUCUAUCUAUAUCUAUACUAUAUAUAAAAGCGUAUAGGAAUUCCGACAAUGACAGACGGAAUCCAAAAAAGAAUAAAAUAAUAUUCCCUACGAAUGGUUAUGAUUAAUUUGUUAAAAAUAUUUCAAAUCAAUAAAAAAUCAAUCUAUUAAAUCUCUACUAUAUAAAAAUCUAUUCUCUACAAAUGCUUAUGAUCAAUUUGUUUAAAAAAAAAUCUCAAAUAAGAACAGUUAUGAUCAAUUUAUUAAAAAAUAGCAUUCCUAUCCAUCUAUAAAUUCAAUCCCACGAACGAUUAUAAUCAAUUUGUUAAAAAAUACCUCAAAUAAAAACAAACUGUUAUGAUCAAUUUGUAAAAAAAAAGCAUUCCUAUUUAUCUAUUUUACAUUAAAAUUUGAGUUUAAAUUAUGAAUUAAAUUUAAUUUUUGAUAUCAAAUUUAAAUUAACAAUUAAUUUUUUUAUUACAGUGGAUCAAUCUUAAAUUUUAAAAUUUGAAAAUAAAUAUAAAUUAAAUUUUGAUGCUUUUAGUUUAAAACACAUAUUUAAAUUUAAUUCAUCAAAAAUCAAAAAAUAUAUAAAAAUGUUCGAUGUAUAUAAAAAAAAGAACACAUAGGAUAUUGUAAAUAUUUUCUAAUAAAAUAUAAUAUAUUAAUUUAUAAAUAUAGGUUUUUAUUAUAAAAUUUUUUAUUAUAAAUGUACACAUUUAUAUUAGUUUGAAUAUAUUAUAUAAUAAUAAUUGUUACGUGCUUUGCACAUACAUUCAACUAGUGUAUAUAUAUAUAUAUAUAUAUAUAUAUAUAUAGAGUUGAGCUAGAAUACUCUCAAAAGCACCAAGGGGGUGGUGCUUUUGAGUUUUUAACCAUUGGAUGGAGAGAUGUAGGGUUGAGAUGAUGGUGGUAGGUGGAAUAGUGUUUUGAUCCAAGGGGUAUUAGUAAUUAAGGAGUAGAUCCAAGGGCUAGAAACUUAGAAGCACAAGGAAUUGGUGCUUCUAAAUUAUUCCUAGGCUUUCAUUCUAUAUAUAUAUAUAUAUAUAUAUAUAUAUAUAUAUAUACUCAUUUGUUAUUUACUAGAGUAAAAGCAAAAGCUUUUAUUGAGUUCUCCUCACAAUCUAUCAGCACAUGUAUCACAUGUGUAGUGUCCUAGACUCUGGUUUUUCUCAUAAUCAACUGUACAAUGAAAUGCUUGAAAACUAAAUAAUAUGGCGUGUGGAAUUUGCUUCAUGGUUGGCUGGCCUAAAGUGCUUUAUAGUGUCAACUGUUGAAUGCAUAGCAUCGUAGCUACUACAAUUGAGAAUGGUCACAUGAUGAAAAAGAGAGAUCAAUGAAGCAUCUAAUAAAGUGGCGGAUAACUCACACAGGUUAUUAUCUCUAUGGAUCACCUAGAAUGGCUAUAUUGAACCUUGAUAAUCUGCCAAUGACAAUGGAAUAACCAUAUCACGGUGCAUGUCACAUAGAAGUUCAAAUUUGAUCAAGAUCCAUACUUGGGUAUUUUUUAUAGUUUCCUUUUGAAAAAUUACUCUGCUACCAGACAUAAAAGUUCUUUCUUUAGAUCUUGUACCGAUUCAAGCUCUUCCACUUACAGUAUUUUAUUGGUAAAUGUAUGUAAUGACGAGUUCCAGUUAUUGCCCUUUCAGUCCUCUCUUUUAUCAUAGAUUUCUAUACAUUUUCACUUGACCCAUUUGCUGAAUUUGCAGACGAAUGAACUAUACCAGUUGGCAUCCGUGGCUUUUUGUUUAUUACUGGCAUGGGUGAGUGCAUGCUAAGUUAUUUCCUUCCUUUUUUUUCUUUAAGAAAAACAAUUUACAGUCAAUUUUUGUACACUUGAACAUUAAGUUUAUGGUUUCUGUUUAUCAUUACACAAGAACUUCACCAGAGUGUAAAGCUGCAAUUUGAAGUCACCUUUUCUUUUAGCUACCGUUGAUUAUGUGUUGCUGUCCCACAAACCACGACUUAACAGUUUUGCUGAUCUUUUACUUUCCUUUUUUAUGUAUGUCAGUGCAGUGAUAAGCUAGGAUUGAGUCUUGAGCUUGGUUCAUUUGUUGCUGGUGUUAUGAUAUCCACCACGGACUUUGCUCAGCAUACCCUGGAGCAGGUUAGACUAAUUUGUGUGUAUAUCGAAAUAAACAUUAUACGAAUAGCAUAGGAACUUCUGUGAUCAGCUCUAUUACCUUUUAUAUUAUAUUAAACACAUUAUUUUUAAUUAUGGGCAACAUAGAAUGGUUGUAUUUUUUUAAUUAAUUAAAUAUAAAUUUGGUGCUGAUCUUAGACAUGUUAAGACGUUUGAAGUCUACAUGUACUUUAUGGGUCACUUAUCAAUGUUUUUUGUUAUUCUUCUAUCAGGAUACAUGUUUUAGGUAUGAAGUUUUGGCCUCAUUUGGUAUUUUUGCCAUUUUUAUUUUUUUUCAACACUAAUUCUAUACAAUUUGGUUUGUUGGAGGAAAUACUUCUUAUUUGCUGUUAUAAUUGGUUAGCUUACAAUGCAUCUGCCAAAAUGAUAGAUGACAACUUGUUUAAAAAAAUAUUGGAAGCAAAAAAAGUUUUUUUUUCGAGUUUUUGUUUUAUGUUGCCAAAUAAACACUUUGGAUGAAAGGAUUGCUUGCAAUCUAUAGUCCGCUCAUGCACCUUUUGAUAUACAAGUUUGGAUUUAAAAAAAAAAAAGCAAACACGAUACCAAACAAGGCCUUUUUUUUCGUUCUCUUUUGUUUUUUUUACUUUAUCAAUUCUAACACUAUUUUGUUUUUCCCCUCUUAAGGUGGAAGCAAUACGCAAUUUAUUUGCUGCACUUUUCCUUGCUAGUAUCGGCAUGCUCAUACACGUUCAGUUCCUGUGGAACCAUGUUGAUAUAUUACUUGCAGCUGUUAUUCUGGUCAUUAUAAUCAAGACAAUUGUUGUAACGAUAGUAGUAAAAGCAUUUCGGUACAGCAUCAGAACAGCUUUUGUGGUAAGCAUCACAAACAACAUUUAUUUUCAUUGUGCCGCCAAGAGCUUUAUUCUAAUAAUCGGAAUAUUUUACUCUGCUGUUUAAUGCUUUUUCUACUUUUGGCAUAUAGGUGGGUCUAUCAUUGGCUCAAAUUGGGGAGUUUGCGUUCGUUUUAUUGAGCCGUGCUUCACAUCUUAAGCUUGUUGAGGUGAAUAUUCUCAUCCCAUGCUGGAUCUACUUUAAUGCUCUAUAUAUAUUUAGUUAGAAGUUGGCUCAUGACUUUGAGGGAUUGCUUAGACUAAGGAAGAUGUUAGAAGGCUAGGGUUCCGGUUGUGCAAACAAGGCUUGUAACUUGUUUGCCUUUUCACAGUGUUGAUAUGGGUAUUUUCAUAUGCAAAUAUUGAUUCUUGACUUUUGGUUGUUUUCUAUAUUUUCUACAAGGCAAGAGAAAAUUUACCAAAGUUACUCUCUUCUAUCAUCUAAAAACAAUUCGUCAGUUGCAAGUUGUACAAUGAGUUUUUCCCCCCAUGAUCUCCUUGAUUCAAUUUGCUGCCCACUGUUUCGCAUGUUAUCUAUUCUGUUCACCUUUUAGAUCCUUUAGUCAAGUAUAUCCCACCUAUUAUACCAUGGGAAUAACUUUAGUUGGGACUAAAGGCUUAAGUCAUGUUGUUUUUGCAGGGAAAAAUGUACCUCUUGCUUUUGGGAACAACUGCUCUUAGCUUGGUAAACUUCUUCUGAUUUAAUUGCUUCGUAAUCUAGCUAUUUUUGUCUUAUUUAUAUGCCUCAUAUAUAUAUAUAUAUAUAUAUAUAUAUAGAGAGAGAGAGAGAGAGAGAGAGAGAGAGAGAGAGAGAGAGUAUCUAAUUGCCUUUUCUCUCUACAGGUAACAACACCUCUCAUUUUCAAACUAAUACCUGCAGUAAUGCAUCUUGGUAUUCUUAUGCAUUGGUUUCCUUCCGAGAGCAGCAUGCAGAAUGAGGUGUGUUCAUUCACUUUUUUUUUAUUACAUUCAAUCAGAUCUCUCAAGUAAUUCCGGCCCAAGCAUCUGUUAAUAGUAAUAACUUGCCAUAAGAACAUCGGGAUGUUAUUUUUUUGAUGAUUGUCCUCUUUAGUUUAAUGAAAAACUGGGAAUUUGCUUAGACUAGUAAUGUGAGCGAGCUUGUGUACCAGUGCUGCUGAAUUGUAAGGCGAUUCUGAGCUUAAUACUCUUUGGCUGUUAACUGCUUGCAGGAUAGAGCAACCAUGCUUGAUGUCUACAACAGGUCACUUUGACAUCGCCCACUUAUUACCUAAUAUAAAAAAAAUUUGCAGUUCACCACAGUUCUCCCAACUGUUCAUGCUGCAGAACAUUUCACAACAGAUUUUACAGUUCUUCACUGCCUACAAACUCAAAGUGACGAAUAAAGAAGAUCUCUGCCGUCUCUCACUCGUGAGCAGUUGUUUUGUAAACUGAAACUAGUUACAUUUCUAUGACAUGUAAAUAUGACCGAUAUUGGAUUUCAGAAAAUUCUUUAACACGACAAAAUUUGUAGCCAGGACGUUGUUUUUGAUCUUGAAUAGUUAUUUUUGAUCUUGAAUAGUUAGAAGGGAAGCUUAUUCUAGAGGAAAACCUUCUACCAUUGUAUAAUGUUCAAAAAGGAAGUCACAUGUAAGACUCGGGAAAAUUGAUGAAGCAACCAUUUCUUUCAGCUCUUUUGCAUAUGUUGACAGUCACCAUUAAGUUUCUGUUUAAGAUGCUGUUAAGAUGUAGAGUCCGGAGGGAUGUUAAGAUGUAGAGUCCGGAGGGGACUCAAAUCACCUUUCUUUCAUCGUCUUUAAAUGGGGCUUCUGUUAAAUUGAAGUCAAGAUAAGCAUGUCUAUUCUAAUGUGAUGUGCUUUUCACUUUAUUAUGUGUGAUUUAUAUAUAGUGAAAUCAGAGUAAGGAAGCGGUUGUACUACGAUUCUCAUUUGUAUGAAGGGGAAAGAUUGCUCCAAGUUAAGGUAUUGUAUAAGAUGAUUAAUUAAUGUGGCUAAGAUUAAUUUCAACUCCUGGAUGCAUAGUAGAGUGCCUGAAUGGCUUUCACUAUGCUUUGUAAACAAGCAGAUUACAAGAGCUGCCAAUGUAUUACAUAGCCUAUUGAAAAGUAUGUUGCUCAUUUUUUGUUUUCUGAGUAUUGCUAUAUUGGUACAAUAUAACAUGGGGGUAAUAGUGCUCAAUCUGCAAUCCUUUACCAAGGAGCCAUCAUUUUGCUUACAGACUAUCAAACAGAAAAGCAACUUGUAGUAUGACUGUCAUCCUUUUUCGUACUCAUCUGCUCGCAUGAGUCUCCGAUAAAUUUGGAGUUUAUGUUACCAUUGGUCCUGUGGCGGCUGAAGGGGAAGCAUGUGACAAGACCCUCUCUUAUGAAUUCCUGCUAGUAUAGUAAAUGAGCAUAAUCUCAAUGCAACAGCAAUAUAUGACAGGAAGUAUCUCAUCUUUGCAGAAAUGAUUAUAGCCGUAAUGGAGGCACAGGAUCUUGAGUUGCUACAGGACUUAUAAUUUUGGUAUGAAUUACUGAUUGGAUCGUUGAAGUCUCUUGAUUCUCCUAAUAGAACAAGUUAUCAUUUUGUUCAUCAUGGUUAUAGCUUAGUGUAUGCAGAGCUAUGAGUAUUUUGAGUUGAAAACUUGUGGACUUAAAGUAUUCAUCCAUUCGAUCGCUCAUUUACAAUCAGAUUUCUGUGUUGUUCAGUGAGAAUUAAAGAAAGUAGGUUCAGAUAUGUACCGCAGAGAGGCUUUUCUUCUUGACAACAAGUGGCUUCCUUUUGUAGCUCAGUUUGCGGCUAAGCAUUAUGAGUUCUCCAAGAGUCAGGGUCCUCCUCGCCAAAGGCCUCGGAUUGUCAUCACAAGUGUUCUUACAGAAAUCAGCAGCAGCUCCAUCUUGCCUGCGAACCUUGUUAAGAAAACCUUCUUCUGGAAGGGAAACAGGGAAAACGAAAUCCAGAACCAAAGCAUCUGUGCCGCCAUUCUGUGCUGCUGAGCUGGUCGAGCUGCUGCUGUAGGCAUCAGUCUCCGACAUGGAGUGCCAGUUCUCGUGCCAGCUCGAGCCACCUUGGCACAGACUUUCCUGAAAAGUGAAACCACUAGCAGCAACAAUUGAAAGUGAAUUGUUAAGGACAGGAUCAGCUCUGGGUGCUUGGUUAUUAUUGACUUCAAAAGCAAAACCCUCAAGAUCAAACCCUGGAGAAUAAUCCCUGUCCUCGGCAUUAAAAGCACCGAACUCCGGAUCAAACCUUUCUUCAUCCACAAAAGGGUUCAGAGAGUGAGUGGAUGGAGAGAGAUCACCGAAAAUUGCCGGGAAAUUCUGAGGCAACUGGGCGAGCGGUUUCCCAGGUUCUUCCUCCCAUUGGAAGGGUACACUCACAACAAGUUUCGCUGGAGAUGGAAAUGAGAUCAAGGAGGUAGGAUUGGAAAUCCACUCCCUUUUGGGUGUGCCAGGUUUCAGCUCCCACAGAAAUGGAACUGAAAUCUGCUGCUUCACCCUUUGCCUUGGAUUAAAUUCCAGAAGUUCUGUCUCUUCAGCCAUCUCCAAUGUAGGUUGGCUUAAGAUAGGUUUGUAGUUCACACCAUAGAAUGUGGUAUUUGUAGGAGAGCCGCUGAGGUUUAGAUAAAGCUGCUCCUUGGUCAACAUUGCUAUGGUUGAACUAUUCCCCUUUGGGAGAAACAAAAAGCUUCAAAAAGCUUCCUUUACCCACUCCUCUUAUGGACUCUUUGAUACAUAAUUAGUUCCUUAAACAAUAGAAAUGUUUUAUAAAUAGAUUUGGGGACUCUUUGAUACAUAAUUAGUUCCUUAAACAAUAGAAAUGUUUUAUAAAUAGAUUUGGCUACCAUCACUUGCUAAAAAAAACAAAAAGAAGGAAAUGCUGCUACCAACAAAAUAACAUUUUAUUGCAAAACAAAUUUGAGGUUCCAUGUAACAAAUGCAACAACAAUGGUGACAAAGUAAAGAAUGAAAAGAAAGAAUGUGAUGUAAUUAAUCAUUGUGCCACCAAAAGCAAUCAUCCUUGCGCGACGAAUAUUUACCGCGAGAGGCAUCACGAAUUGUUCCUAACCGACUCCAAAAACUGCACCACCUCCGCCAUGCUCGGCCGCCUCGUCGGGGCCUCGGAAGUGCAUAUCAACCCUAUUUUCAGCACCUGAAUCAAUUCGCUCUCUACAAAAUCACUCAAAUUCCCGUCAAAGCAAUCGGACGGGGUACCGUCCUCUAACACCUCCCUCACAUAGUCGCGCAGCACCACCACCUUCGCCGCCCCCGGGCUAUCCACCGGCUUCCGCCCCGUCACAAUCUCCAGCAAAACUACCCCGAAGCUGUACACGUCACACUUAUCACUAUACCGCAAGCUCUGAGAGGCUAACUCGGGUGCUACGUACCCAACUGCUGUAUGAAACUUUGUCAGUUGAAGGCUACCGAGAAUCGGUAACAGCUUGCCCAACCCAUAAUCCGAUAACUUAGCUUCGUACUUUUCAUCUAACAAUAUGUUAGUAGACUUAAUGUUAAGAUGCAGGAUUUGGGGUUUGCAAUCAUGGUGGAGAUAUGCGAGGGCUCGAGCCGUUCCAAGAGCUAUUCUAAACCGUCGCGACCAGAGGAGCUCGCUUCUGCCUCUGCCGCUACUGCUGCUAGGAUAGGGGAAGUGAUUCCCAUGCAGAUGAUCAUAGAGAUUCCCAUUAGGGAUGAAUUCGGAGAGAAUCAACUGCAUUGUGGAUGACCAGUAGUAGCCCUGGAAAGCAACCAGAUUUGGGUGGCUAAGACUGCCGAGCUGGCCCAUCUCCUGCUCGAACUCAUCCUGGUUCCGGAUCCUCCCUAGGGUUUCGAGCCUCUUCACGGCGAUCGUUACCCCGCCCUCGAAGCUGGCCUUGUACACCGUGCCUAUCGAUCCGCCGCCUAUAAUGCAGUCCUUAUCGAGAAGCGCCUUUGUGCCCGUUUCCCAGUCUUCGUACUUCGAAGGUAGGCUCUUGCUGAAGAGGACCAACUUCCCGAUGAUCACAUUCGAUCCAGUAGAGAGAGGCGGCGUGCUCUCGGACACCAAGACCUCCUCUUGCCGCCCUCUCCUUCGAUACGCCCCGAUGUUCAUGAUUGUGACGAUACAAACCCCGACGAAAAUAAUGGCCGCGGCAACAAUGACGACUAUGGCGGAAACACUCAGUGAUCUUGCUCUCCGUGGGCCGCCGCAGAUGUUGUUCAGCGGAGGGCCGCAUAGCUUCGGAUUGUGCAUGAAUGCUGAGAAGCCGAAUCUUUGAAGGUAAGAAGGGAUAGUGCCGGAGAGAUCGUUGUAGGAGAGAUUGAAGUAGGUUAGUUUUGUCAGGUUUUCUAGGCGCGGGAUGGCGCCCGUGAGUGAAUUCUCCGACAGAUCGAGGAAUUCGAUGUUGGUGAGGUUGUCGAGGGCGCCGGGGAUUCCUCCCUGCAAGCGGUUCCCGGACAGAUCCCUGCAUCGGCAGAAACACUAAAACAUUUCAUUCGAUUCGCGAAAGCAAACGAUAUUCGGGAGAAGGGUCUACGGACCGAGAGGCUGCGAUUUCUACUUACAGCUGGAGAAGAAAGAGGCAUUGGCCCAGGGAAGCCGGGAUCUCGUCGGAGAGUUGAAGGUUUUCGAGAUCGAGCACGCAGAGCAGCUCGAUCCCGCCGAGCUCCGGCGGGAUGGGGCCGCUUAUGGCGGCAUUGUUCCCCAGCCUGAGAACUGAGAGCAAUUUUAGUGUCCCAAACUCGGCUGGGAUGGUUCCGGAGAGAUUGUUAGAUCCCAAAUCCAAGUACUCCAGUGCCUGGCAAUUGACAACGCUUGUGGGGAUUCCGCCACUGAGAGCAUUACCGGAGACGUCGAAAUAGCCCAACCUCCUCCCGCAGGAUGCGAUCUUCGGAAUCUCUCCGACGAAGCCGUUCGCAGAUGCAUUGAAGUAGGUGAUGUUCACGAGGCCGAGGAUGCCGAAGGGGAUCGAUCCGGAGAACGAAUUGCUCCCGAUAUCGAACAGGCUCAAGCUCCGACACUGAGAUAUCUUAUCGGCGACGGUGCCGGAGAGGGAAUUGCUGCGGAGGGAGACGUAGUUGUUGAAGGAGAAGUCGAAUCCGACGAGCUUGGAGCAGUUGCCGAUGGAUCCGGGGACGGGGCCGGAGAGGGCGUUGUGGGAGAGGGAGACGUAGCGGGUCUUGAUGCAGCUGCGGAAGAGCUCGUCGGGGAUCUCGCCGGAGAAGGCGUUGUAGGAGAGGUCGAGGAGGCGGAGCCCCGGGAAGGAGCCGAGGAAGGAGGGGACAGCGCCGGAGAGGGCGUUGCGGCUGAGGUUGAGCUUGUGGAGGGUGGGGGCGAGCGCGGCGAACUGCGGCGGGAUCUCGCCGGAGAAGCGGUUGCCGAAGAGGGAGAGGAUCUGGAGCGAGGGGAGCCGGGAGAGCGACGCGGCUAGGGUUCCGGCGAGGUCGGCCCCGUGGACGAGCACCUUCACGACGGCCCCGGAGGGGUCGCAGCUCACCCCGGCGAAGUCCCGGCACGGGUCCCCCCCGGCGCUCCACGUCGCGAGCGCCCCGCGCGGGUCGGAGCUCACGUUCCCCUUGAACUCCAGCAGUAUCUCCUUCUCCGCCGCCGUCGCCGCCGCGGCCACCUCCGCCGCGAGCACGACGGCGACGACGGCGACGACGACGACGACGACGAAGUGGAAGAGACGGUCACGGCGCCGGAGCCUCAUUCCCGCCGUCCGUUACCGCCACCGUUAGCGACGGCGUGGGGUGCGGUCACCGCCCGGGUAAGCAUCUCCCACCAGUGUUAGUAGAGCGAUCCUACGCUUUCUAGUACUAGGCGCAGUAGCAAUAAAUAAAAAGUAUAGCAGUAGGUGAGAGGUAUAGUUAAGUGGUAUUAAAUGGGAAGUGGAGGAGGGGACUCCUCCGGUGAGGUUAAUAAAUAGUGGGGAAGCACGUGUGUGUGUUCUUUUUCAUGCGUUAGAGAGAGUUAGAAAUUGGAUUGGUGGAUGGAGGAGGAGGUGACUGUACUCGCCGUUGUUGUUGGGGGUGGAUUCAAUGGUCUCGCCUACCACACCACCACCACCAUUACACCAUUACCAUCAUCAAAAAGAUGGUGAUGAUUGAGCUGCAAAAGAGUUUAGCAUUUGUACUGCUACCAAUAGUAGUAACCUUUCCUGCGAGAGUGGAAGUUAAUGCGAGGCCACAAAAGAGAGUUAUGUGGGUGACAGGGUGAAGUUAUGAGAUUGGCUUUUUUUUUUUUUUUUUUCUUUUUUUAAGAGAAAACUUCCAAAUAUUAUUCCUGCAAUUUCAUUUUUUUUAAAUUUUAGUACUAUAUGUUUUAAAGUCUAUUAAUUUAGUAUUCUACAAUUUUAUUUUUCUCUUUUUAUUAUCUACUCCACUAAAUUUUUUUCGUUAAAUCAGCUAUAAAGUUAAAACUAAAAUAUACUAAAGUGAAUAUUCAAUAAAUAUAGAUGAAAUAUCAGAAAUUUUUUAUAUAUAAUUUAAUAAAAUGUUAACGAAAGAACUGACAAAAAAAAAAAAAAAAUCACGGAGUACUAAAUUAAUACAUUUUAAAUCACAGAAUAUUAAAAUGAAAAAAUCCGAAACCAUUGGGUGGUAUUUGAAAUCUACCCUUAUUCCUACCUUUUGUUCAUGGGAAGUAGUAGAAGACUUUUUGAGGUUUGGUAAGAUUGUUGGUGAUGUGCUGAUGGAACGGAUUAGAUAGAAAGUUAAGUGAAACAACCUGAAAAACACUAGGAACAUGAAUUGUGCUGCUUUUCAAAUAUUUCUUUUUAGAAUAAUUGUAUAGGAUUCCAUGUAAAGGUAAAGUAAUAAACAUAUACUUAUGAAACUUGAGUUAUCAGAUUUAUUUUUUAAAAAAAAUUUUCGUCUAUUAAUGUAUUCUUUUGUUGAUAAAAUUUAGAUAGUUAUGAGUUAAAAAAACUAACUACAAUUAGCUCACGGCCAAAAUAACCUUUUUAUCCCUAAUAUGUAUAAUUUGUAUUAUAAUAUUAAGUUCCGUCAUUUUUCUCAUUUUGCUCACACUCUGUAGCCAUGGUGAAGACAAGACUUACAGCGGUCGCUAUGUCGAAGGUGAGACUCCCUCUGUCGCAGAAAAAAAUGAAGUACACCGCACGUGCCGUGGCGAAGGCGAGAAAAGAGAGAGAGAGAAAGAAGAUAAUUUUUUAUAGAGACAAAUUUGUAAGGACAAAAUAAUCAAUUUAUGUACCCACCGUUAAAUACUAACGGUGAAUCAAACGGUAGGGAUAUAUAUGAAUGAAUCAAAAUUUUAGGAAGAAUAUAUUUACAAACCAAAGAAUUUUUGAAGGAAUCAAUCAAAUAACUUAAGUUUCAUAGAGAAAUAUAUAUUUGUUAUUCCAUAUCUUUGCAUAAACCCGUAUGAAAUUAACCUUUUUUUUAUAAGAAUAUAGAAAACUUCUCUGAAUUAUUGGAAUUUGGCUAUCCAACUUUUUAGAAUUUUGAUUUUAUUAUUUAACUUUUUUAAUUUGUUUGAUUAGAGUUGGUCAAUGAUAUUUUGAUUUUAAAAUUUAAUUGCGUCGUUUAUCUUUAUAGAUUUAAUUAGUAUAUUUUAUAUAAUUCUCGCAAUUACAAGUCAUUAAAGUAAGUAAUUAAAUUAAAUUUUAAAGUCAAAGUGUCAUUGCCUAACUCAAAAUAAAUAAAAUAAAAAAUUGGAUAAUAAAAUUAAAAUUUUGAAAGAUUGGAUAGCCAAAUUCAAAAUUCAUACAUACUUAACUUAUCUUUUUUUAAGAAAAAAACUUUCUGUAAAUCUAAAAUUCGAGUGUAAUUAUUACAUUCUAUCCACCCAAGAGUUGAAAUAAUCCUUCUAAAUUUUAAGUUAAAAAAUUUAAAAUUGUGAUAAAAUUAGUGUGAUAAAAUUGAUUCUGAGAUGGAUAAGAUAUAAAAUUUAUACAUAUUUUCUGGUACGCUGGUAGCAUUGUUUUAUUUUUAAUGAGUACUCAUUCAUAAACACCAAAAAAUAUUUUUAAAUAAAUAUUGAUAAUGGAUCAAUUUAGAAUAUGUAAUAGUUGGUUACACAAAAACUAAAAUGCACAUUGUAUGAUAUAUGUGGCUCUAUUCAUCAAAAAGAUGGAUCUCUAUGAUUGAGCAAGUGGUGCAGAUGGACCUAGCUUCUUGACAGACUAUCAGAGCUGUGCAGAAGUUUUUUUUACACGCUAAAAUUGUCCAAAUUUACACCCCAAUAAUAAUAGAUUAGUCAUGUAGUUUAGUCUUUUAAGAUUAAUAUUUUAUCAUUGUUAUAUUAAAAAUUAAAAGAUAAACUUCUGAUACCUUUCUCGUAAUUUAUCUUUUUUACUCUUCAAUAUUAUGUGGUUUUAAACGUAUCACUUAAGUACCAUAUUUUUUUUAAAAAAAAUUUCGUUAACACGGCACUAUCUCCUCCACUAAAACCGUUAUGAGUUUGCGCACGUGCAUUGGAGAUAUCCCACAAAAAUUGAUAAAAAAGACAUAAAAAAUCGAUAAAAAAAGGUAUGAGGCCCCUUAAAGCUUAAUUCUAAUUAUUUUUUGAGAAUUCCUGACUAAGAAGCAACGGUGUGCAGCACAUGACAGUUUUAACGGAGAAGAUAAUAAAACUACUAAUAAAAUUAAGUAAUAUAGUUAAAACUAUAAGGUACUAAAAUAAAAAAAUAAUAAACUACGGAGGGUAUCUAAAUUUUUUCCAAAAUUAAAUCAACAACUAAUUACAACAGAUAUAAAACCUCUAAGUUGAUCUUGUUCAAAUGCAUGAACAUCUUAUUCAGUAAUAUUCAUCAAUUUGAUUAAAAGUAUAUAGUAUUUAAUAAAUAACAAGCGUAAUCAAAUGUUUAGAAUGAUAUCAUAUUUCUGCCUCCAAAUUA